rnacentral:lncRNA from 1 species
CAGAAUAUCCUACGAGAUGAAGAUUUUAGCCCUUGGGGCACCAUAAUCCUAGUGUUCCUGUGUGAGCUAAGUAUUGAAGAAUAUGUUUCACAGCCUUAUGGUGUGAUUAAUUCGGUUUUGCUUGAAAACGAGCACACAUGCAAACACGAAGCAUUAUAUCUGGCCUAGAUGCACAUAAAUAGAGUAAAGAGCCAAUCAUUGAGCGAUAUACCUUCUAAUCGAAUUCUUUACCAUUUUCGUCACAGCAGAGGUGAUCAUUGGUAGGCAUGGUUGUCUUGGCGUCUUUGCAUUCAUGCAUGUCGAAUUUCCUCAGAACAUCCUUGAGGUAUUUCUCCUGUGAUAUGAAGAUGUCAUUGCGUUGCUGACGAAUUUGAAGACCUAAGAAGAAUUUCAGCUCCCCCAUCAUAGACAUUUGAUAUUCUUCACUCAAAUGUAAUCAACUUCAUCACUGUAACAUUUGUCAGUACAACCAAUAUGAUGUCAUCGACAUAUAUUUGGCACACAAAUAGUUCAUUGUCAUAGGACUUUUUGAAAAGAGUUGGAUCGAGUGAACCAGGUUUGAAGCCUUUUGUCACACCCUGUUUUUACUACCACUUCUCUAUAUUGUGAAAAUCUGAGCUUGUUAAAACUUCUUCAAAACUAAUGUUGUGAGUGCCAUGAUUGUCAUUGUAUGCUUGUGUGUUUGACCAUGUGAUGAUAAAAACCGUAAUUCAUAAUAUUGAUUUACUUCCAUAAACCUUUACUUGUUUCUGAUCAUGGUAAAAACCUACUAUGAGUUGCACUACAUGCCCUUGAUGGAAAGAAGUGUUUCUACUCAAAGUUAGUGAUCUGAUUUUAACUUAUCUUUAUAUUCCAAAACCACAAAAAUAAUUAUUUUCCUAAUUAAAUUGCAUGUCCAUUUCUCAGGCCAGAAUUUGUAUUCCUACUUGGAAAAAUACUUUUCUACCUUAGAAAAAUCUGAUUAAAUUUGGAGAUGAUAAGGACAUAUAUUUUGCAUACAUAAGAUUUUAAACCCCUAUUUAUAUUAUAAUUAUUUGAGUAAAAUCGUGAAAACCAUUUGUGUCUAUUUUGACCUUUUGAAAUAUUUCCAAAGGAAAUAUUCUCAAUAAAAUCCUAGAAAAUUCCAGUAGUAUCCCUAAGCCAUAUUUGGUGUCCACAUAAAGUUUCACCUUGAUCAAAGGUGAUUAAGGACCCCAAAUAACCCUAAAACCCCUUCUGUCCAUAUUGAAGUUAGAGCAACUCUACAUAGCAAAGUUUAUCCAAUGAUGCUGAAACUUUGCAGGAGUGCCUAAUACCUCAAAUGAGGGUUCCACACCAAAAAUGGGUUUUGUGGGACUUAGUUUGCCCACACUCUCUUUGGAAGGGACAGAUCUGGUCAAAUUGAAGUGUUUUCAAGUUUACAAAGCUAAACUUGCCCUAUGGAGCUCAAAAUUGGUGAAACCCCAUGUUUUAGCACCAAACCCAAACCUGUUAAGUUGCAUCACCUUUGGUGGGGUGCAACCCCCUCAAACCACUAUCGAGCACCUUCUGACAGAUAGGGAAAAGCCACCUUAGCCACAGCUAAACCCAACUCCUUUGCUCCAAACUCAUAGAUUAGGUGGCCAGUAUCCAUAUCUAACCCGAGUCAACUCGCCCCUCACUGGUUCAAAGUGGAAAGGCCAAAAAUUCCAAUUUAGGUUUUAGUUCAAGGCUGACAGCACCCGUAUUUCUUGUCUCCCUUGACCAGUCCAAGAUCCCACGAGACCCAAACGGCUAGCCACACUCCCAUAUAGUGCCAGGACAUGCUAGAAACGUCAAAAGUCCCUCAGAGCGCACCAGCAUGCCGUGGCAUGCCAAAACUGCGCUCUAGGCGCGCUGCAGGAAGCCACCAAGGUGGGGUGACGCUCUCGGCCAGUUCCAGCCUCCCCCGACGUGUCCAACCUCUUCCCCGACAACCCCUCUGCAUCGAACAACCCUCAGGGCCCCUCCUUCCCCAUGCUAGAGCUCGUGCGACGCGUGCCCGCGCGCAUCAGAAACGACCAAGGUUGCACGGCCACGGAUGCUCGACUCCUCCCUCUCUCCCUGUGCAGCAGAUGGUUCUGGCAGUCCAAAACCAUGUACUAAGACCGUGGUUUCGACCCCAGCUCCUCCCUGCACCCCUAUGCACGCCACGGUGAGUCACCGGCGCUUCCCAAUCUGCUCACCGUCGCGGGCCUAUAAAUAGCCCUCCCCCUAGCUCCAGCACCCCUCAGAUAGGUCCACCGAGACCACUAGCACCUCCCUAGCCACCCCAGCAAACCAGCAGAUCCCCAGUGCUCGAGAUCGACCGAGGCCCAUCUGCCUCGGAGCUUCGGUCGAUCUCCGGCUACACGACGGCUCCUGCGCCCCUCGACCCACCAAACUGAUCCCCUCAACCCAGGAAGCUUUUCCCCAACUCGCCCGAGCAUUUCCGUGCCUCUAGCCACCUGCUCGACCACCUCCCGAAACUCCUCCGCCACGGCCUCCUCGUCGCCGGCGAAACCCUGCCUCUUCGACGUUGUUUCGACCACCAGCAGGUAGGCGAUGUCUCGGCAAACGCAUUCCAGUCCUUUUUGGGGCUUGAGAGCGUCGACAGCCUCGCUAGCGUGCUCCUCCUCUCUGGCCAGAGGUAGGAGACGACCCCGACAGGUGUGCCCCACCUGUCGGUGGCCCAACCUCCUCCCCCGCGUUGUCCACUGCCACUGACCGUAGGGCCCCGCACAUCAGUUUCAAACCUGACGACGCGCGCGCCUGGCAGGCUGUCGGCUGGCCAUGGGCCAGCCCAGUUCCAUGCCGAGCCAGGCCAGGAACUUAGCCCGUUUUUCUUUUAUUUUUAAAACCUGAUUUCUAAGAUUUUUAUAAAAACAUUUAACCAGUGUAAAAAUAUAAUUUUUCCACUGUUAUUCUUCUAAAAAUAUGUAGUAUUUAAUAAUAUGAUUGGGUGAAUUUUUGUACAACUAUUCUCUUUUACAAUAAUGAAAAGGACUAAAUUGGAAUAGUUUGGCUUGUGUUUGGCUAAUUUUAAAAAUGUUCCUUCACGAGAAAUUCAGGAAAAUAUUUUUCAAAAUGACAACUUAGAUUUAUGAGUAAUGAAGAACAUUUUUAAAAUCACCUUGUGAUCUGUUUCUGUGUGAGCUAUUUCUUAUUUAUUGUUUUAUCGACGAUAGAAAAUCCGUGUGACCAGGGAAUCGGAGCGGAAGACCUCGAAGACCCCGGAUACCUAGCUGACCAAGGCAAGCAGCCCUUUGACCAUGACUUAUUCAUUCGAUGUGAUGUUACCGAUGGCUCAUCCGGAGCACAUGCAUUGAGCUUGAUCCUACCCCUUUUGAGGAUCAUACUAGUAUCAUGUUGACAAGUAAUGAUAGAGUAAACAAGCAUGAUCAUGUUGUUGGUAUUAAACAAAGAUAUAUGAAAACCCCGUCGGGUGCCACUAAUGCCCGAGGGUGAUGAGGAGUUAGGUGGUCACUUUUGGUGAAGUGGUGCACCGGGUAUUUUGAGUGAGUAUGGUUUCGGAAGUGGGAUUAGAUUUAUGAUGUGUCGACCAUCCCAACCUUACCAGUACGACCACGUUACCCCUUAUGGGACGUGGCUAUGUUAAUUACUCUGGUCGGUGCUAGCAAAGAGCCACAUUACUAGUGGCGGGAGUGAUGUGUGGUCACUCUCGUGAUGGGGUCGUGCCAGGUAGGACGACUAUGCUAUUUUUGUGAGUUCCAGGCACACCGUUGGUCCCCGCAUAGUUGGUACUGUCCAGAGUUAAUGCUCAUAAUACGUGCAACAUGUGGGAUGGGUACCAAUCGAGUGGACCUCUUUGUCUAGUAUUGUCAGGGGAAAGGCAUUGAUCGGGUACUUACCUCGGGUAUGUUAUAUACCGCGAGUCGUGGAUGACACAGAAGUUUCUCGGAUCUCGUGGGUCCAGCGUACUACCUCUUCAGAGUGUAAAACUAUUCAAAUAGCCGUGUCCACGGUCAAGGACAGUUGGGUAAUCCUCCUUACACUACGUCGAGUUAUUUCCGCAUAAACCAAGUGUGUGUGAGUUGUGUCGAAAAAGGUGUCGCAUCUUAGUCGUUACAUGAUCAUCCCACCAAGAGAAGUUCCACCAAAGCUGCAUGUUAUUGUUAUCCUUCACUUUCAUUGUUCAUGUCAUGGGCUAUUUGCGAGUACAUUCGAAGUACUCAUUGGCUUGCCACUGCUUAUGUUAUUGACCAGACAUGGAAGGACCGGAGUUUGGAGAUGAGUAUGUCUUCGGAGAUGCCCCUGGGAUCUAGGACACUUCCAAGUCAGAAUGCCUGUCGGUGUAGGCUUGAUGGCAUGGGCACCCGCUUAGCCCCUAUGAUUUCCGCUUCUAGUUGUAUUUGAGUGAUUUGGCCUUGGGCCCUGCCUUGUGAACCUGACCAUUCGGUCUUGUGUUGUAAUAAUCGGUAUUUGGAUGUAAGACUCUCUUAUUUGGUAUCUGUGUUCGGUGAGCAUUGAUAUCUGGGAUCACUUAGCACGGCGAACUUGAUCGUAAGUCGGGGUCCCCACAGAGAUGGUAUCAGAGCCAUCCUGACUAUAGGAAGCCUUAGGUAGCAUGGACGAUAGCUGAGACGAUUAGUGCACAUAGAGCUUAACCUGAGGUUCUGCACCCACUAAAAACUUUCUAACUCUCUCCUCUACAUCUUGUAGAUGGCCGCCGUACCUGAGAUCCUUCUGGAGAUGGGCUUUCCUCUGCUUUUGAGUGAUAGCCUCAAGAAGUGUCAAGUACGCCGCACGCCCAUCUUCCUCUACCACGAGCACUGGGUCAACGCCGACACUAAAGAAUAUCACGUGGACGUGAUAGUGAAGGCUAAUGACUCCCUGACUAGUUGGUUGUGAGAAGGGCCACAGAUGGAAGAUCUGAUGUUGACAGUGUAGACUACAGCACGAGAGGCGCUCGUGCGACUCCGCGACAUCCUUCCCGAGCCAGCUACUCGUCACCUACCUUUUGUUAAGGAUGGGGUAGAUUGGAGUUGGACACUCAACCCAUCUUUCGAGGACGGGACACCACUGAGGUUCCAGACCUACUUCAGUCUCUCCUCCGACACUUUGACGCACCUUUUGAUCAAGGAGUCAACUAGGAUUUGCCAGGAGCUACACCAAGUCAAGGACCUACUUCGCACGGAGAAGAUGAAGAAUCGCAAGAUGAAGAAGGAAGGAGCACCCGUAGGACCACCUGGUUUUGCCUUCCAAGGAGGAAUACCACCGCUUCAGGCCACUCCUCUUCAGAGUCGUCGCUUGACCGCGGAAGAGUGCACUGAACUCUUCGCUACCUCGCCAACCAAGAGACGCCGUGCUGGUCCGCUUCCUUCUCCUACUCCUUCAAAGAAGGGAAGCACUAAUUGAGACGAAGAUGAAGAUGAAGAUGAGGACAAAGAUCCCGUAGAACCCGCUUAUGAGACCGCGCAGUCGGCCCCUUAACUUUAACAGUGUAGGCAAUUAGGAUGUACCCCCAAGCGUGGGAGUUCUUGUAUCGGUUUGUAUGAACCACAAGUGUUGUGUAAGCCUGUUGGAUGCAAGUCGCAUUCUGCCUUAGGAAGCUUGUGAGCGACUACAUCGCUUGUUUUUAAUCUAAUGCAGUAACUCUUUUAAAACCACUGGUUUCAAAUUUUCACACUAGCACAACACCAUACCCCCUCAUUACUAGAGCAUCAUCCCUUAUGAUUUCAGCCAGUUCGGCAAAUUGACCUGUCUACUCCCCUGACAGGAUGGUGAAUGCAACUCGCAACAGCACCUUCGGCAACCCCGGCUCUGCCUCUUGAGGUCAGCAGCAGGGAACCGAAGGGGAAGCUCAAGCUAGAGAUCACCACGAGCAGCAAGACGAUGUUCCACCCCCACCGCCUCCUCCUAAAAGCUUGACUAUGGAUCAGUUCCUUCAAGCUCUUCGAGAGGAGCAUCAAGCCAACAAUGCCACUAUUCAGGAGCUGGCUCAAACCUUGGUGAACAACCCGCCGCAGAACGGGAAUGUUAAUGGUCGCUCUAGUCUUUGUGAGUUCAUGCGAAUUACGCCACCCAUAUUCACGGAGAAGACUGAACCAUUGGAUGCCGAUGACUGGAUCCGUACUAUCCAAGACCUCUUCGCGCUGGUCAAGUGCACUGAUGAUCGUGAGAAAGUUCUCUAUGCUUCUCACUAUCUCAGAGGCACAACCAGAGCUUGGUGGGAUGGAUUUCAGAUCAUGUGAGCAGGGCAAGUCAUCACUUGGGCUGUGUUCAAAGAUGGAUUCCGCGCUGCUCACAUUCCUCCCGGAAUGAUGACCAUUAAGAAGAGGGAAUUCCGAACCUUAAGGCAAGGCAGUAGACCCGUCAAGGAAUAUUUGCAGAAGUUCAACGUCCUGUCAAGAUACGGGCCUGAGGACGUGAACGCUGAGGCCGCCAAAGUGGAACGCUUUAUGGAAGGACUACAACAGUCACUCCAGUAUCAACUGGUUGUUUAUGAAUGUUGGUCCUUCAGCGAUAUGGUUAAUAAGGCCCUUAUGUUGGAAGACAAGCGUCAUGCUAUGGACGACACCCGUAAGAGCAAGCUAAUGGGUAGUGAAGGACCGAGUAACAUGAAGCCACGACCAUGGCAGUCAGCUCCAGCAAGACCCAACUAUCAGCAGUAGUAGUACAAGUAUCCAACAUUUCGCCAGAACUACCAGCCUCAGGAGCAAGUCGACACCAAGCCAGCAAGCAAUCUGCCGAACAACGGUGGAGUCAAGACCAAUCUUCCAGUGCAAGUUACCUGUUUCGCAUGUGGACAAACAUGGCACUAUUCCAAGCAGUGCCCCAACAAGAAACCCAAUGCUCCGUGCCCCAAUGCGCCAAAUCCAGGCCAAGGAGCACCAGGCAGGAAUCAGGCUCCCCGCCAUGAGCAGUAUCAUAGCAAGGGGCGGAUUAAUCAUAUUUCCGCAGAAGAGGCACAAGAAGACCCAGACUGCAUUCUGGUUACGUUCCUCGUCAACUCUACCCGAGCAAAAGUAUAGUUUGAUUGUCGUGCUUCGCAUUCUGUUGUUACGCAAAGAUUUGCGAAAAAAUGUGAUUUAGAACCUAGCUUGCUUCGCGGGCAUAUGGCAAUUCAAACCCCGGGAGCAGUAUUGAGAACCAACCUAGGGUGUAGGAAGGUCGGGAUAGUUAUCAAUGGAAUGAGCUUAUCAGCGGAUCUCACUGUGCUUAAGUCGCAAGGCCUAGAAGUAAUUCUCGGAAUAGAUUGGUUGGCCAAGCAUCAAAGCAUCUUGGACUGUGCAAACAGGGUCAUUACCAUGACGAGUGAAAAAGGGGUCAAAGUCAAGUGUGUCUCUAAGCCAGUAACCGCUCGAGUACCACGGGUUAAUAGCCUGUCAGAGGAAGAACUCGAUCGAGUGUCAAUAGUCUGUGAAUACUUGGACGUCUUUCCCGAUGACCUACCAGGGAUGCCUCCUGACCGAGACAUCGAGUUCAUCAGUGAGCUCAUGCCCGGAUCGAGGCCUAUCUAUAAGAAGCCUUACAGGAUGGGAUCCGAAGAGCUAGCGGAGUUGACGAAGCAACUGGAUGAGCAACUCAGGAAAGAGUUUAUUUGUCUGAGUGCAUCACCUUGGGGAUCACCUAUUCUCGUUGUGUCCAAGAAGGAUGGAACCAUCAGAGUCAGCGUCGAUUACCAUUCUCUCAAUGAGGUCACGAUCAAGAACAAGUACCCACUCCCCAAGAUUGAAGACUUGUUCGAUCAGCUAAAUGGAGCUAAGGUAUUCUCCAAGAUCGACCUCCGAUCUGGACAUUACCAACUGAAGAUCCGACCGGAGGACAUACCCAAGACUACGUUCGUGACCCGAUACGGUCUGUAUGAAUGCAUUGUCAUGUCUUUUGGCUUGACUGAUGCCCCAGCUUACUUCAUGUACCUCAUGAACAAGGUCUUCAUGGAAUACCUGGACAAGUUUGUCGUCGUAUUCAUUGAUGACAUAUUAAUAUUUUCCAACUCCGAAGAAGAGCAUGAGCAACACUUCAGGUUAGUAUUGGAGAAGCUUCGAGAGCACCAACUUUAUGCCAAGUUCAGCAAAUGCCAAUUUUGGCUGAACGAAGUUGGAUACUUGGGUCAUACCAUCACAGCAAGCGGAUUGGCGGUUGAUCCCUCCAAGAUUACUAUGGUAACCAACUGGGAAUCGCCAAUUGAUGUGAAGGAAGUCAGAAGGUUCCUCGGACUCGUGGGAUAUUACCGCAAGUUCGUAGAAGGAUUCUCCCGCAUCGCUCGACCCAUGACUCAGCUCUUGAAUAAGGGCAAGAAGUUCGAAUGGACGCCAGAGUGUGAAGCGAGCUUCCAAGAAUUGAAGAAGAGAUUAACCACCACCCCGGUAUAGGCCACUCCAGAUAUCAGCAAGGAGUUUGUGAUAUAUUGUGAUGCCUCUAGAACCGGGCUCGGUGGGGUUCUAAUGCAGGAUGACACAGUCGUGGCGUGUCUGUCACGGCAACUGCACCCGCAUGAAGAGAACUAUGCCACCCAUGAUGUCGAGUUGGCAGCAGUACUGCAUGCCCUGAAGACAUGGCUACAUUACCUUCUCGGAAAGCGAUGUGAAAUAUACACUAACCACAAGAGUCUGAAGUAUAUCUUCACACAAAGUGAAUUGAAUAUGAGGCAACGAAGAUGGUUGGAGUUAAUCAAAGACUACUACCUCAUCAAUCAAUAUCACCCCGGUAAGGCCAAUGUAGUGGCUGAUGCCCUAAGCCGGAAGACUAGCACCUUGAACGUCAUGCUCAAGGAAAGGCAACCCGCCUUGUAUGAGGAAUUGGAGAACUUCGGGUUGGUGCUAGUGGAAUAAGGAUUCCUAGAUAACCUCAAAGUCAAACCAAUGCUGGUGGACAACAUCAAGGAGGCCCAGAAGGGUCAUAUGAGCAUUGAAGGCAUCAAGAAGAAGAUUCAAGAAGGCAAGGCCCCAGGAUUCUCGGUGGAUGAACAAGGAGUGGUGUGGUUUGGGCAAUGAUUAUGUGUACCUAAUGAGGCUGAACUCAAGGACUUGAUCCUACAGGAAGCAUAGGAUGCACCCUACUCUAUUCACCCCAGUGGUACCAAGAUGUAUCAAGACCUCCGAGAAAGAUUCUGGUGGCAUGGCAUGAAGAGGGAAAUAGCGUCUUAUGUUGCCAAUUGCGACGUGUGCCAACAAGUCAAGGUUGAGCAUCAGCGACCUGCAGGACUGCUACAACCUCUCAAAGUGCCAGAAUGGAAGUGGGAUAACAUAGGCAUGGACUUUGUUACCGGCUUACCAAGGUCUCGCACAGGCCAUGACUCUAUAUGGGUUAUUGUCGAUCAUUUGACCAAAGUGGCCCAUUUCAUUCCUGUGAACACCACUUAUGAUGGGAACAAGUUGGCUAGUCUCUAUAUUGAGCGUAUUGUAAGCCUCCAUGGAGUUCCCAAGGAGAUUGUAUCUGACCGAGGCACGCAGUUCACCUCAACAUUUUGGAAAAAGUUCCACGAAGCCCUAGGAACCAAGCUCUCUUUCAGCACCGCCUUCCAUCCGCAAACAGGCGGACAAACGGAAAUAGUGAAUCAGAUACUCGAAGAUAUGCUCCGCGCAUGCGUCUUGGCGCAUGGAGCCAAAUGGGAAGACUGCCUGCCGUUCGCUGAGUUUUCAUACAACAACAGCUACCAGUCCAGUCUCCAGAUGGCCCCGUUCGAAGUGUUGUACGGACGAAAGUGCCGCACCCCGCUCAACUGGUCCAAAACCGGAGAAGGACUGAUUUUCGGGCCGGAAGUUUUGCACAAAGCGGAAGAGAAGGUGCAACUGGUCCGAGAGAAUCUAAAGGCAGCCAAGUCAUGGCAAAAGAGCUAUGCGGAUUCUCGCUGCAGGGAUGUGGAGUUCAUUCCCGGAGACCUGGUGUACCUUCGUGUCACACCUCUCAAGGGAACCAAGUGUUUCCAUGUUAAAGGGAAACUCGCUCCACGGUUCAUUGGACCUUUUAUGAUCACGGCAAGGCGUGGAGACGUUGCUUAUCAGUUGGAGAUACCUCCGGAACUUUCGGGUGUGCACAACGUUUCCCACAUGUCAAAACUUCGGAAGUGUCUUCAAGCGCCAAAUCGUCCAGAUCUUUACAAGGACAUUCACCAUCAGGCCAUUGACCUUUAGCCUGAUCUCACCUACCGCAAGAAUUCGAUCCGCAUUCUGGAUGAAGCUGAGCGUUGCACCAGAAGCCGCACCAUCAAGUAUUUCAAGGUUCAAUGGAGCAACCACACCGAAGCAGAAGCAACAUGGGAGCGUGAAGACUAUAUCCGAUCUGAGUUUCCGGACCUUUUUAGCACCUAGCUUAGGAAUCUCGGGGACGAGAUUCUUGUAAGGGGGAUAGGUCUGUCACACCCUAUUUUUACUACCACUUCUUUGUAUUGUGAAAAUCUGAGCUUGUUAAAACUUUUUCAAAACUAAUGUUGUGAGUGCCAUGAUUGUCAUUGUAUGCUUGUGUGUUUGAUCAUGUCAUGAUAAAAACUCUAUUUCACAAUAUUGAUUUAUUUCCAAAAACGUUUACUUGUUUCUGAUCAAGGUAAAACCCUACUUUGAGUUGCACAACAUGCCCUUGAUGGCAAGAAGUGUUUCUACUCAAAGUUGGUGAUCAGAUUUUAACUUGUCUUUAUAUUCCAAAACCACAAAAAUAAUUAUUUUUAUAAUUAUUUUCCAAAUUAAAUUGCAUGUUCUUUUUCUAAGGCAAGAAUUGGUACUCCUACUUGGAAAACAAUGUUCUGCCUUAGAAAAAUCUGAUUAAAUUUGGAGAUGAUCACUAGGACAUAUAUUUUCCAUACAUAAGAUUUUAAACCCGUAUUUAUAUUAUAAUUAUUUGAGUAAAACCCCGGAAACCAUUUUUGUCUGUUUUGACCUUUUGAAAUAUUUCCAAAGGAAAUAUUCUCAAUAAAAUCCUAGAAAAUUCCAGUAGUAUCACUAAGCCAUAUUUGGUGUCCACAUAAAGUUUCACCUUGAUCAAAGGUGAUUAAGGACCCCAAAUAACCCUCAAACCCCUUCUGUCUAGAUUGAAGUUAGAGCAACUCUACAUAGCAAAGUUUAUCCAAUGAUGCUAAAAGUUGGCAGGAGUGCCUAAUACCGCAAAUGAGGGUUCCACACCAAAAAUGGGAUUUGUGGGACUUAGUUUGCCCAAACUCCCUUUGGAAGGGACAGAUCUGGUCAAAUUGAAGUGUUUUCAAGUUUACAAAGCUAAACUUUCCCUAUGGAGCUCAAACUUGGUGAAACCCCAUGUUUUAGCACGAAACCCAAACCUGUUAAGUUGCAUCACCUUUGGUGGGGUGCAACCCCCUCAAACCACUAUCGAGCACCUUCUGACAGAUAGGGAAAGCCACCUUAGCCACAGCUAAACCCAACCCCUUUGCUCCAAACUCAUAGAUUAGGUGGCCAGUAUCCAUAUCAAACCCCACUCAAAUGGCCCCUCACUGGUUCAAAUAGGAAAGGCCAAAAACUCCAAUUUAGGUUUCAGUUCAAGGUAGAGACACACCAGUAUUUCUUGUCUCCCUUGACCAGUCGAAGCUCCUACAAGACCCAAAUGGCUAGCCAGACUCCCAGCCAGUGCCAGGACAUGCUAGACACGUCCAAAGUGCCUCAGAGCGCACCAGCAUGCCGUGGCAUGCCAAAACUGCGCCCUAGGCGCGCUGCAGGAAGCCACCAAGGUGGGGGCGACGCUCUCGGUCAGUUCAAGCAUUCCUCGAGGUGUCCAACCUCUUCCCCGACAACCCCUGUGCGUCGAGCAACCCUCAGGGCCCCUCCUUCCCCGUGCUAGAGCACGUGCGACGCGUGCCCGCGCGCACCAGAACGGGCCAAGGUUGCGCGGCCACGGAUGCUCGACUCCUCCCUCUCUUCCUCUAAAGCAGAUGGUUCUGGGAGCCCAAAACCAUGUCCUAAGACCGUGGUUUCGACCCGAGCUCCUCCCUGCACCCCAUGCACGCCACGGUGAGUCACCGGUGCUCCCGAAUUGGCUCACCGGCGCGGGCCUAUAAAUAGCCCUCUCCCUCGCUCCAGCACCCUGCAGAUAGCUUCACCACGACCACUAGCACCUCCCUAGCCACCCUAGUAAACAAGCAGAGAUCGACCGAGGCCCCUCCGCCUCGGAGCUCAGGUCGAUCUCCGACUACACGACGGCUCUUGUGCCCCUCGACCCACCAAACUGAUCCCCUUAACCCCAGGAAGCUUUCUCCCAACUCGCCCGAGUAUUUCCGUGCCUCUAGCCACCUCCUCGACCACCUCCCGAAACUCCUCCGCCACGGCCUCCUCGUCGCCAACGAACCCCUGCCUCUCUGACGUUGUUCCGACCACCAGCAGGUAGGAGACGUCAUGGCAAAACCAUUACAGUCCCUGUUGGGGCUUGAGAGUGUCGGGAGCCUCGUCGGCAUGCUCCUCCUCCUCUCUGGCCAGUGGUAGGAGACGACCCUGACAGGUGUGCCCCACCUGUUGGUGGCCCAGCCUCCUCCCCCACGCUAUCCAAAGCCACUGACCGCAGGGCCCCGCACGUCAGGUUCAAACCUGACGACGCGCGGGCCUGGGCACGUUGUCGGCGGACAAUGGGCCAGCCCAGUUCCAGGCCGAGCCAGGCCAGGAACUUAGCCCGUUUUUCUUUUAUUUUUAAAACUGAUUUCUAAGAUGUUUAUAAAAACAUUUAACCAGUGUAAAAAUAUAAUUUUUUCACUAUUAUUAUUCUAAAAAUAUGUAGUAUUUAAUAAUAUGAUUGGGUGAAUGUUUCUAGAACUAUUCUGUUUUACAAUAAUAAAAAGGGCUAAAUUGGAAUAGUUUUGCUUGUGUUUGGUUAAUUUAAAAAUUGUUCCUUGAAGAGAAAUGGAGGCAAAUAUUUUUCAAAAUGACAACUUAGAUUUAUCAGUAAUAAAGAAAAAAUUUAAAAUGACUUUGUGAUCUAUUUCUGUGUGAGCUAUUUCUUAUUUAUUGUUUUAUCAGCGAUAGAAAAUCCAUGUGACGGGGGAAUCGGAGUGGAAGACCUGGAAGACCCUGGAUACCUAGCUGACCAAGGCAAGCACCCUUUGACCAUGAAUGAGCAUAUGCUAUACUGCAUGUUAAAAUAGCAAGUAUUUUCGUUGCAUAUGAUCAUAAGUGCAGAUAAAUCAUUCGAUGUGAUGUUACCGAUGGCUCCUCCGGAGCACAUGCAUUGAGCUUGAUCCUACCCCUUUUGAGGAUCAUGCUAGUAUCAUGUUGACAAGUAAUGAUAGAGUAAACAAGCAUGAGCAUAUUGUUGGUAUUAAACAAGGAUUUAUGAAAACCCAUCGGGUGCCACUAAUACCCGAGGGUGAUGAGGAGUUAGGUGGCCACUUUUGGUGAAGUGGUGCUCCAGGUGUUUUGAGUGAGUAUGGUUUCGGAAAUGGGAUUAGAUUUAUGAUGUGUUGACCGUCCCAACCUUACCAGUACAUACACAUUACCCCUUAUGGGUCGGGGCUAUGUUAGUUACUCUGGUCGGUGCUAGCAAAGAGCCACAUUACUAGUGGCGGGAGUAAUGUGUGGUCACUCUCGUGAUAGGGUCAUGCCAGGUAGGAUGACUGUGCCAUUUUUAUGAGUUCCAGGCACACCGUUGGUCCCCGCAUGGUUGGUACUAUCCAGAGUCGAUGCUCGUAAGACGUGCAACAUGUGGGCUGGGUACCAAUCGAGUGGACCUCUUUGUCUAGUAUCGUCAGGGGAAAGGCAUUGAUCGGGUACUUACCUCGGGUAUGUUAUAUACCCCGAGUCGUGGAUGACACGGAAAUUUCCCGGAUCUCGUGGGUCCAACGUACUACCUCAAUAGCCGUGUCCACGGUCAAGGACAGUUGGGUAAUCCUGCUUAAUCUAUGUCCAGUUAUUUCCACAUAAACCAAGUGUGUGUGAUUUGUGUCGAAAAAGGUGUUGUUAUGGAAGUAAUGAUAUGACCAAGUUUGGUGACUUGGCAUAUAGGGUGAGCCCGGAUGGUUCAGCCCUCGACACAUAUAUUGAUAUAUGUAAUCUGAUCUUCAAAAGUAAUACUUUAAUUUAAUGCAUAUUCAUGAUCUGUAAUGCCCCAGAUGUAACCCUUGCCUUUUGUGGAACCCUUUCCUAUUUUGGGUCAUGAUGUCAAUGCUAUGGAGUUAUCAUUUCAUGUGGCCAUUUCAUGUUUUCACUUUUGCAUCAUGGCAUUCUUUGCAUUCUUGUCUUUUUCUUUCUGUUGAUUGUUGUGGUUGAUCCAUGAUGGGUGUGGUGUGAUGAUGUGGUGUUUGCAAAGCUUGGUUUCAAACUUGGGUGUUUUCAAACAAGUGUUCAAAUGAAGCCUUCUCCCUAUUUUGUGAAUUCAUGUUUGAGUUGAUUUAAACAUGAUUUUAAAAUGUAGAUCAUUUAGUGCCUUUUCUUGUGCAUAUGGAGAUGUGACUUGGGGCUUGCAAAAACUUUGGCAACAUUGGUUUUAUCUAUAAAACAGAUUAAAUUAAUUCUGUUUUGUAAUUAUUUUAUUUGCUCCAAAAAUCGUCUUUGUAUUUUAUUUAAUUGCGUCAUAAUUCCCUUAUGACCAGGGUUAUUUUAUUUUUAUUUUUGGGACCCCAGAAUGUCCUAGGUGAUUAAUUUGGCUCUGUAUUUGUUUUAAAUAGAAAACCCUUUUGGUUUUCCUGUGUGUUAUCUCGUGCCAGCAAGGUGGGCCUCCUCCUUCCCGCAGGCCGAGUGCCUCUUCUCCUUGCUGUGCAGCCCAAACCCCAGUCCAUCUCCUUCCUCCUGUCGCCAUCUUCGUACGACUCUAGCUUCACCACUGAUUCUUUCCCCCUCUUGAUCUUGUGGCUCAUAGCUCGCCUCCCGAGACCAUAUAAGGAGCCAAAGCUCUCCCCGCAACCCUAGGGCUCCCGUUUCCCCCUUGUCCUCUCCCUCGCAACGUCAAGGUAGGGCCUCCGACGCCGACGCUAGGAGAGGGCUUCGGUGAGCUCGCAGCAGCAGCAGAUCGUGAGCUCCUCCGCCCCUUCAACAGCACCAGGAGGACGUGGUGGCCGAGGAGGUCUCGUUCCCGCAGCAACAAGACAACUUCUUCCACGACGUCCGCGACAUCCACGACAUCAUCGUCCUCCCCUACUGCCGGCGACCUCCUCUGCUUCGGAUCGACGCCCUUCUUCCUCUCCUGCGUUGGUUAAUUGCCUAAGUUCUAGGUGAGCUGCACCCCGGCUUCCCAGCUCCUUCCCCCUCUCUGUUAGCGCGUGAAGGUGGACACGGCAACGCCUUGCCAAAGUAGCGCGUAGGAGCUCGAGUAGUAGCUGCCGUUGUAGUUCCCUGAGGUAGCAUUAGCGUAAGGUAGGGCAUUUUCCCGCGCUGGCUAUGGGAAUGGAGUCCCCAUGAUGUCUGCGUCCCUCGCCGGUGACCUGCCCCUCCGAUGAGAACCGGUGUCCUCGCCGGCGGCCGCCUCUGGUUCGGCCAGCUUAGUUUCAGGUGGCAUCGAGGGGUAGGCUCAAAAGAGAACCUUCCCCUCCCUGUCAAGACUCUGUUCGUAGCCCGACUUGUGGGUGUGUGUGGUCUCGAUGCCACCGGCCGUGGGUUCGAUCCCUGGAGACCCCCUUUUUGUUAUUUGUUUUAGAAAAGUGGUAGAUCGACAGGCAGGGUUAGAUCACCUGUUCUGCUGCUCCUCCUAGAGAAGAAGUCGAGCGCUAGUGCAGCGGUGUGGUGCCGUCAGUACACCAGGAGGGUCUUGGGUUCGUUUCUAGGGGCCUCCCCUUUUGUUUUGAUUUUUUUCCUUUCUUUUCCUUUUAACCUUUUUCUUGUGCAGCAAGUGUGCCUAGUGGUUUUAGCUUUAGUGCAAUUAUUCCUUUGUGCCUAGAGUGAAAUAUACAUGUGGUUAUGUGUAUGUGAUGAGUGCAUGUGUAUGUCCUUCAGUGUAUCUACCCCCUCAUGAGGCCUUUCUUGUGUGUGUGUGCAAGUGCUUGUGUAUGCACUAGUGUGUGUAGGUGGUGUGUAUAUAUGAGUGUGUGUAUGUGUGUAGCCUUGUGUGUGUGCAAAUGGGAAGUGGUUCACAUAUGUGAGUGUGUGUGUGUGUGCAUGUGGUGGCACAUGCAUAUGUGCAAGAGGGCAGCCCCUCUUGAUGCACCUCUUGUAGUAGGUGUGUGUGUGAAUAUAUAUUGUGUGUAGGUGUUCAUGCAUGUGUGUGUGUGGGCAUGAGUGCACAUAUGCACUUGUGCAUAAGGGCUAACCCCUCAUGCUUGCCACUAUGGUGAUGUGGUGGUGUAUGGACCUUGUGUGUGUGCAUAUGUAGGAGUGGUGGAUGCUACAAGUGCUAAGACACAUGUGAUAAUGCUCCUAUAUGCUCAUAUUGAUUUCUAUGUUGAUUUUUGAGCUAGCUUUGUGCCUACAUGUUCCAUGCAAGUACCCAUGUAUUAUAUAUGCUUCUGGGGUAGAAUCAUCCCAGGAAUCCACUGGUGAAAUCAGAUUUCACUUUAGAGCAACUUCAUAAACUGUCAUUUUUCUGUCUUUAUGCCAUGUUUAGAGCUUAGUAUCAUGUGGUGUGUUGGCCCUAUGAGGAUGAAUUCUUGAUGUGGAAGUAGUAGGUGAACCCCUCUACACCAUGGGGUUUUUAUUUUGGCCAUAGGAAUUUGUAUGUAGUUGUUGUGCCUUGUCGAAGUUGACACUUGGCUGAAAGUGACAGCUUUGUGAAAAUCUGUGAUUUUCACUAAGUCUAAGAAUUUACUGUUAUUUUCUUCCCUUGUUGUUUUGAUUGCACAAGCUCAUGUGUUGGGAAUCAGCCCAUGCAACAAACUAUGGUUUCUGAGAUUUUGUGUUUGUCUAGGUCCCUGUUAAAUUUGAAGCUUAUUCCCUUCUUGUAGAUAUCAUUUUGGAGGUUGCGAAAAUGCCUCAAAGCAUAAGCAGCUGGUGAAAAUCUGAGAUUUUCACUAAGUCCGAGAAUCUGUUAUUUUGUCCAAGUUUGUGUCCAUAGAUCUUCUCAUGUGAGAUGCCUUUGCAGUAGCUUAUAGCUCAGGCUUUUAUAGGUUUUGAAUAUCUUUCGCCACAUAUCUUGUUUGGCUCAUUUGGGUGGUUGUACGUACUUUGAAUGUUGUAGACAAACUCCUAUGAUGCUGUUAAAAACAGAUUGCAUGUUUUAGUUGUUUUGAAGCUUGUGUGGGCAUUGUUGAUGGUGUGGUGUGAUUCCAUGCACCACCCCACUUGUAUUUGAUUGCUUGAUCAUGUGUCAACCUGGUAACACCAGAGGAGUGCCAUUGGAGUGUGCUUGUGGUUGAUUUGAACCGUAGGACUCCAUAUCUUGUUUUGUAGUUUCUGGUUGAUCCGUAGCUCUGUUCUCUACGUUCUUUAGACGUUUGUGCUUUGUGUUCUCGUGAUGCACAUGUUCAUGCCAUCCUCAUGCAUGUAAAGAUAGCUUAGUAUGAAGUUAUGUCCCGAAGUUUAUCUUCUCAUCUCAUGUAUAUGAAAGUGACUAGAAUAGUGAUGCAUGCUUCCUUCUCAUCUCAUGCAUCAUAUUGUUGUUGCAUCAUGUGGUGUUGGUGUUCAUUUGCUGUUAUGUUUAUCUUGGGUAGCAUCUGGAUCGGAGAGCGGGUACGUGGAUUCUGGAGAGUACGUGCAGGAAGAUCACGAGCAGUUCCAAGAUGAGGACAUCACAGGCAAGAUGAUCGUGACCUUGAUACCGUAUCUAGCUUUGUUAUGCUUAGAAUAACGUUUCCUUCGAUUAUGCUCGCUGCCUACCACUUGAUAAAAAUGCCACAUGGCAUUUCCAUGAAACCCAAACACCUUCCCCUCCUAGCUAAUGUUGUUUGGCUAAGUAGGCUUGCUCAACUCUAAUGAUUAGCUUUGCUAGUUGUAGGUGCCAGCUGUCUCAUGUGACAACAUGAGUAUUUUGAUAUUAUUAUGAUUAAACUGCUAUUUAAUUAAUGCACCUAUAUACUUGGUAAAUGACGGAAGGUCUAGCCUUUUCCCGGGUGAUUUGUUCCGUCGUUGCCGCCUUAGUUUCGGCUACCGGUGGUUAUUUCCAUAACUGAUCGCUCCUAACACGUUCGGGGUUGUUAUGGGGACCCCCUUGAUAAAUCGUGUAGUGUUAAGGCUCGUUUGGAAGGACCCAACAUUGGUUUUAAUUUGCUAAUCACCUAAUAAUAUUUUUCAUAGGGAAUAGCUACCCCGAGGAAUUAAUCAACAACCCGGGCCAGUGCUCCUCAUGAGUGUUGGUCCAAACUAGAGUCAUGUGCGGGGCCAACCCGGGGAAACUCGGGAGAUUUCUAUCGGUCUAUUGUACGUUGUGCUCAUGCGACCGUGUCCUGAGAACGAGAUACGCGGCUCCUAUCGAGUUCUUCGACACGUCGUGAGGUAUUGCCAGAUUUGUCUUACCUUAGCGAUAUAUCUUGCGUAUAGGAAUCCUGGUGAAACUUUGGGUCUCCUCAAAGUUGAGGUUUUCUCUAAGGAAUCCGACGAGAUCACGAGAUUCGUGAUAGAGGAUUACUUUACGGCCCGUGGCAGUUUGUGAUGGACUAGUUGGAACACCCCUGCAGGGUUUAAUCUUUCGGAAAGCUGUCCCGCGGUUAUGUGGAAAACUUGGAUAAUUUGUUAACAUCCAGUUCUAGAUAACUUGAAUUAACUCUAAUAAAAUUGCCAACUGCGUGCGUAACCGUGACUGUCUCCUUCGAAGACCUCUCUUCGAUCGGGAACAUGGUGGGGUUAUGUUUGACGUAAGUAGAUGUUCAGGAUCACUUAGUGAUCACCUAGUCUUCGACCGCUCGGGUAGACCACCAUAUCAAAUACUCUGAUCGUCGUAAGUUAGCCACCAUAUAAGCUUAAGAUAGUGCAACCUAUACACUAAACCUUCCUCACCUAAUAACUUGACUAGAUUCGAUACCAAGGUCAUCCGAUUGCUGAGUCCCCGUGGCUCACAGUUUACUCCAACACCCCCAAUAGGUAUAGGUACGCCCGACGCAGGAGAUCCUUAUGGCACCCAGCUGGCGUGGCAGUACGAUGAGGAGUGUGACCGACUGUGCGUGAACUAUCCAGAGGACUGAGGUCGUGGUCGUGAUCGUGGGCCAGCAUGCGGGAUGUCAUAGUCUUUUCCUUGUUUCAUGUUGUCCGUACAGGGACUAACUUGUUCUCAAUAAUUGUGUGGAUGUAAACCUUAUGUUGUACUAUGUCAGAUGGCAAGUGUAUGCCCUACUUGUCAUUCUUCGAAUAUGUAAUGUUAUGAUUAUCUCGCUUGCGAAACGUUUAGAUGCGCCUCUUUCCCUUUUGGGGCAUCGCCCCCAAAAUAGGAAAGGUUCGCAUCUUAGUCGUUACAAGUUAGUAAUCAGAGCCUUACGACCAUAGGAGCCUCUGUGUGAUCGAACUUGGCCAAGUCGAGUCUAGUAAAAAUGUUUUGAGUCUUAGUUAUAUCGGAGAGUAGGUUUAUUUUUUCUCCUCUUCCAUGCUCUGGUGAGGUUCUCGACUUAGGAAAUCUUAAUUCUACUCCUCUUCUCGCUCAAUUCUUUUUUAGGAUCACCUGGGUAUUUUGAAAUCUAUAUGAUAUCGAUGUGAUGGAGUUCUGUCUUGGUGCCUCCUAUCUGACUUGAUUUCUUCCAGGGAGUUGAGCUCCAGGGGAUUCUUGUGCACAUCGCCAUCAUUCAGAUUUCUUAGAAUCUCAGGACGAAGGAUGUUCCAAAAUUGCUUCAAUACUAGUAGUGGCGAGAUAACCACGAUGUCCCCAGUACUGAUGAAGAUUGUUCGGGAGUACUGCCAUACUUGUAUCGUUGUGAUUACGAGGGUCUGUAGUAGAUGAAGGUCCGAGAUUCUUGUUAUGUGUUGACAGAUGUUAUACACUGGACGGGUUAGUAUAGGAGUUGUGUGAAAUAUUACUCCUUGUAUCCCUAUACGAGAUUGCGUGACCAGAUAUUUCGAGAAUUCAUAGGUGGGUUAUCAAGUAGUGACUUAUAGGACAAUCUUCCUACACAUGCAUGAUGUGAGGUUGGGAUUCGACAUUUAGUGUGUACGUUUGUUCAUGGUCGUCUUACAGCAGUUCUCGUUGUGUCUUAAAGAGUCCUUGUAGCUUUCUACGACUUGCGGAUGCUUCUUAAGUCGUGUGCACUGCCUUGCAUAGGAUGGCUACUGUAAAUUCGAGCCCGUGCAAUCAUAUCCCACAAAGAUAUCGGAUGAAAUCUCGAUCAUACGUUUGUUCCGAGCAGUUCUAGAUCAUACUUGGUUUGCAAGUGAUCUUUAAUCACAUUUUGUCGACAGUCACUUUGAGGAAGCAUUCUUACUAAUUUGUUCGAAUGCAAUUGCUAAUAUUCUUGUUCAGAUAUUCCUUUCUUUUGAUUCAGCUUUACCUUCAAUAUUGUUCUCUGGCCUAAUGUGUUGUCCGCCUUCAGAAUGGCUCCACCAACUCGUCAGAAUCCGGGUCGUGAGGGUGUUGAGAUGCCGCCACUACCCCCUCCGCCGCCUCCUCCUUCAGAGGCUUGGCAAGCGGUCAUGGCUGUAACAAAUGCUAACACUCAGAUGUUAAUCCAGCUAUUGUAAGAGAGGACUAAUCAGUAGCAGGGAAAUUUCAACCAUGGUGGUAAUCAGUUUGCAUCUGUGAGUCAAUUCCUGGCAAACCAGGCGAAGACCUUCACGUCGUGUGAUCAGCCGUUUGACGCUGAGGACUGGAUUCGGGACAUGAACAGACACUUUGAGUGCAGCAAUGUCCGUCCAGAGGACUUUGUCAAGUUUGCAACAUUUCAGCUCAAGGGGCAGGCAGCACUUUGGUGGCAGCAGUUGAAGGAUUCCAGGGGUGCCAGAGUGAUCACUUGAGAUGAGUUAUGCAGAGAUUUCAGGUCCCACUAUAUCUCGUCUAGCUUUGUGGAAGAGAUGCGUGAGAAGUUCAGGCGCUUGAAGCAAGGUGGUUCCUCCGUGUACAAGUACAACGUCGAGUUCCACGAGCUAGCCCUAUAUGCCUUGCAGGACAGUCGAGAUCAUAAGAGCAAGAUCUAUCAGUUCAGAGGUGGUCUGAAAUAGGACUUGCAGCUGGCCCUUGCCUUGCACGAUCCUGAUGAGUUUGAUAGUUUCUACAACUUGGCUCUCAGGGCUGAGGCAGCUUUGCUCAGGGUGGAGAAUUCGAAGAAGCGUUUCAGAGAGUCCAGUUCGUCUUCCUCAACUCAGGUGGUUCAGAAGCAACAGAAAUAUUGGGUGUCUCCUCCUCCUCCUCGACACACUCAGCAGUUCAAGCAAUCAGGUGGUCGUGGUUCUUCCCACCCACCCAACCCAGCUUUCCAGCAGAGGUUUCAGCAGCAGAAUCAAGGAAUCCUCAGACGCAGUUCCGUCAGCCGACAAAUGUUACUUGUCACAAGUGUGGGUAGAAGGGUCACUAUGCCAACAAGUGCACCUCUCAACUGCGUCUUCCGCCUCCUCCUCCCGGCAAGCCUCCAAGCAAUGCUAUAGUGAAGUUCAACCCGAGGUCUGCUAGAGGGAAUAUGGUGAAUGCAGCUGAAGCACACAACUCCUCAGACGUGAUUAUGGGUAAUCUCCUCGUUAAUGAUUCUCCUGCAAAAGUCUUGUUUGACUCUGGUGCUUUGCAUUGCUUUAUGUCAAAGUCAUUUUUCAUCAUGCAUGAGUUUCAUUAUCAAGAUUUUCCUAAGCCCAUGUCGGUGGUCUCUCCUGGUUUGAUUUUGAAUUCUAGUCGCAUAGUCCCUUAUGUCUCUAUCAAGAUGGGUAAUUAUGCUUUUCUGACGUCUCCUAUUGUCCUUGGCAAUUCUGAUAUUGAUUCGAUCCUUGGGAUUGAUUGGUUAGCUAUGAACAAGGCGUCUAUUGUUUGUGAAGAUAACUCAUUCUUCGGAGGACAUGAUUAUCUUCGCAGCGCGUGGUGACACGGUCCGUCUGUUUUCCUUGAAUUAGAAGGGUGAGAUCUCUCCAAUUUUGCAAGUCCUAGUGGUCUGCGAAUAUGAAGAUGUUUUUCCGGAAGAACUGCCAGGAAUGCCUCCACACCGUGCUUUUGAGUUCUUAAUUAAGAUUGAACCGGGUACUGAGCCUGUGUGCAAACGGCCGUACAAACUGGGUCCAAAAGAGAUGAAGGAGCUGGACAAACAACUUGAUGAGCAGGAGCGUCUAGGUCUGAUCAGACCAAGCUCAUCGCCUUGGGGCUGUGGAGUUCUUUUCGUCAAGAAGUAGGAUGGUACGGAACGACUCUGUGUCGAUUACCACCCAUUCAAUAAGAAGACGAUUAAAAACAAGUAUCCACUUCCUAACAUCAAUGAGUUGUUCGAGCAAUUGAAAGGGGCUAAGAACUUCUCGAAGCUUGAUCUCAGGAUGGGUUAUCAUCAGAUUCGCAUCCGCAAAGAGGACAUUCCAAAGACUACUUUCAGGACAAGCUUUGGCUCGUAUGAGUCUACAGUGAUGUCUUUUGGUCUGGCAAAUGCUCCACCAACCUUCUGUCGAAUGAUGAAUUAUAUUUUCUCCCCAUUCAAGAAUGAAUUCGUCUUGUUGUAUCUUGAUGAUGUUCUGGUCUUUUCGGAAACUAAGGAAGAGCAUGAAGAACAUCUCAGGCUGGUGCUUUAUAAGCUAAGGGAGCAUAAGUUCUACGCUAAGUUUUCCAAAUGUGAGUUCUGGUUGAAAGAAGUUGUCUACCUUGGGCACAUCAUCUCUGCCGAGGGCAUCAAAGUUGAUCCGUCGAAGGUGCAGGCCACUGUUGAGUGGGAGCCUCUGCAAAAUGUGAAGCAGCUUCGAAGCUUUCUCGGGCUUGCAAGCUAUUGUAGAAGAUUCAUUGAGAAUUUCUCCAACAUUGCUAAGACUCUGUCAAGUCUUCUUCAGAAGGGUGUGAAGUAUGUCCGGUCUCCAGAGUGUCAGUUGGCUUUCGGCACACUCAAAGAGAAGCUCACUCCUACUCCAGUCUUGGUUCCUCAUGAUGACUCCAAACCUUAUCAAGUGUUCAGCGAUGCCUCUCUUCAAGGUCUUGGUGCAGUGCUGAUAAAAGACAAGAAAGUGGUAGCUUAUAGCUCGAAGCACUUGAAGCCAAGUGAGAAGAAUUACCCCACUCAUGAUCUUGAGUUGGCGACAGUGGUACAUGCUCUGAUGACUUGGAGACACCUCUUGUUGGAACGAAAGGUUGAAGUGUUCACCGAUCACAAGAGUCUCAAGUACAUCUUCACCCUGCCUAACCUCAAUCUUCGGCAAACUCGUUGGGUGGAAAUGCUCCAAGAUUUUAAUCCGAGCGUUGAGUACACUCCAGGCAAAGCUAAUGUCGUGGCAGAUGCUUUGAGCAAGAAGUCUUACUGCAACAGUCUCAUUCUGAAGCCUCUCCAGCCUAACCUUUGUGAAUCUUUCAGGAAGCUCAACCUUCAGUUAGUACCUCAAGGAUUUCUUACAAAUCUUUAGAUCUCUCCUACCUUGGAAGACCAGGUUCGACAAGCUCAACUUCUUGAUGCAAUGGUGAAGAAAGUUAAGAUUGGCUUGGCAAAGGGAGUUCCAAAAUAUAAGUGCUUCAGUGUUGAUGCCAGAGAUACAUUAUUCUUUGAGGAUCGUCUUGUCGUUCCAAAAGGGGAUCUCAGAAAGAUUAUCAUGGAAGAAGCUCAUAACUCUCUUCUCUCCAUACAUCCAGGAAUUUCCAAGAUGUAUUAGGACUUGAAACAGACCUUCUGGUGGACUCGCAUGAAGCGUGAAAUUGCUCAGUUCAUAAAUGAAUGUGAUGUAUGUCGAAGGUUGAAAGCAGAGCAUCAACGACCAACAGGUCUUUUGCAUCCAUUGCUGAUUCCCGAGUGGAAGUUCGACCAUAUUGAGAUGGAUUUCAUCACCGGGUUCCCGAAGUCCAAGAAGGGUAACGAUGCCAUCUUCGUCGUCAUCGACAAGUUGAGGAAAGUAGCUCAUUUCCUUCCAUUCAAGGAGUCCAUCUCGGCAGCUCAGCUUCAGAGCUGUACACUUCGAUGAUAGUCUCUUUGCCUGGCGUUCCAAUGCUGAUUUCUUCGGAUCGCGGAAGCAUCUUCACUUCCAUGUUCCGGGACUCAUUUCAGUCUGCGAUGGGUACUAAGAUUCGAUUCAGCACAUCCUUUCAUCCUCAGACUAGUGGGCAAGUGGAGAGAGUCAAUCAGGUUCUCUAGGAUAUGCUAAGAGACUGUGUCAUUUCCUUUGGCAUGUAGUGGGAAGACUGCCUACCUUUUGCUGAGUUCUCUUAUAACAACAGCUAUCAUGCAAGUUCAGGCAAAGCUCCAUUUGAGAUUGUCUAUGGCAGGAAGUGUCGUACCCAGCUCAACUGGUCCGAGACUGGCGGGCGUCAGAUUCUUGUGAAUGACUUGAUCGAAGAAGCGGAAGAAAUGUGUCGGGUCAUUCAGGAUAAUCUCAGAGCACCGCAGUCCCGUCAGAAGAGCUACUAUGAUAGCAAGCAUCAUGACAUGUCUUAUGAGCUCGAUGACUUCGUCUAUAUCAAAGUGUCUCCUAUGAAGGGCACUCAACGUUUUGGCAUCAAAGGCAACCUUGCUCCUCGUUUUGUUGGGCCUUUCAGAAUUGUUGGCAAGAGAGGCGACCUUGCUUAUCAACUUGAGAUCCCUUCAAACUUCGCAAAUGUGCAUGACGUGUUCCAUGUAUCUCAGCUCCGGAGAUGCUUCAAGACUCCCGAGCACACAGUUGAUCUUCAGGAUAUCGACCUUCAACCCGACCUAUCCUAUCAUGAGCAUCAAGUUGUAGUUCUCGAGACGACUGAGCGCAAAACCCGCAAUAAGUCAAUCAAGUUUCUCAAGGUGCAGUGGUCACAUCAUUCUGAUAAAGAGGCCACUUGGGAGCGCGAGGAUCACCUCCGUUCUGAAUUCCCAGAGUUCUUUCAAUCCUAGAUCUUGGGACGAGAUCUUCUUGUAGUGUGGGAGAGUUUGUAAUGCUCCAGAUGUAACCCUUGCCUUUUGUGGAACCCUUUCCUAUUUUGGGUCAUGAUGUCAAUGCUAUGGAGUUAUCAUUUCAUGUGGCCAUUUCAUGUUUUCACUUUCGCAUUAUCGCAUUCUUUGCAUUCUUGUAUUUUCCUUUGUGUUGAUUGUUGUGGUUGAUCCAUGAUGGGUGUGGUGUGAUGAUGUGGUGUUUGCAAAGCUUGGUUUCAAACUUGGGUGUUUUCAAACUAGUAUUCAAUGGAGCCUUCUCCCUAUUUUGUGAGCUCAUGUUUGACUUGAUUUAAACGUGAUUUUAAAAUGUAGACCAUUUAGUGCCUUUUCUUGUGGAUGUGGAGAUGUGACUUGGGGCUUGCAAAAACUUUGGCAACAUUGGUUUUAUCUACAAAACAUAUUAAAUUAGUUCUAUUUUGUAGUUAUUUUAUUUGCUCCAAAAAUCAUCUUUGUAUUUUAUUUAAUUGGGUCAUAAUUCCCUUAUGACCAGGGUUAUCUUAUUUUUAUUUUUGGGACCCCAAAAUGUCCAAGGUGAUUUAUUUGGCUCUGUAUUUGUUUUAAAUAGAAAACCCUUUUUGUUUUCCUCUCUGUUAUCUGGCGCCAGCAAGGUGGGCCUCCGCCUUCCCGCAGGCCUAGUGCCUCUUCUCCUCACAGCGCAGCCCAAACCCCCAUCCCUCUCCUUCCUCUUGUUGUCAUCUUCGUACGACUGUAGCUCCACCAUCGAUUCUUUCCACCUCUUGAUCUUCCGGCUCCUAGCUCGCCUCCCGAGACCAUAUGAGGAGCCAGAGCUCUCCCCGCAAUCCUAGGGCUCCCGUUUCCCCCUUCUCCUCUCGCUCGCGCCAUCAAGGUAGGGCCUCCGACGCCGACGCCAUGAGAGGGCUUCGAUGAGCUCGCAGUGGCAGCAGAUCGUGAGCUCAUCCGCCACUUCGACAGCACCAGGAGGACGCGGUGGCUGAGGAGGUCCCGUUCCCGCAGCAACUAGACGGCUUCUUCCAUGACGUCCACGAUGUCAUCGUUCUCCCCUGCUGCCGGAGACCUCCUGUGCUUCGGAUCGACGCCCUUCUUGCUCUCCCGCAUCGGUUCAUCGCCUAAGUUCCAGGUGAGUUGCGCCCCGACUUCCCCGCUCCUUCCCCAUCGCUGUUAGCGUGUGAAUGUGGACGCGGCAACGCCUUGCCGGAGUAGCACGUAGGAGCUCGAGCAGUAGCUGUCGCCGUAGUUCCCUAGGGUAGCAGUAGCGCAAGGUAGGGCCUUUUUCCGCGCUGGCUACGGGAAUGGAGUCCAUGUGCUGUCUGCGUCCCUCGCCGGUGACUAGCCCCUCCGAUGAGAUCCUGUGUCCUCGCCGGCAGCCGCCUCUGGUUCGGCCAGCUUAGUUUCAGGUGGCAUCGAGGGGUAGGCUCAAAAGAGAACCUUCCCACUCCCUGUCAAGACUCUGUUCGCAGCCCGACUGGUGUGUGUGUGGUCUCGAUGCCACCGGUCAUGGGUUCGAUCCCUGGAGACCCCCUUUUUGUUAUUUGUUUUAGAACAGUGGUAGAUCGACAGGCAGGGUUAGAUCACCUAUUCUGUUGCUCCUCCUAGAGAAAAAGUCGAGCGCUAGUGCAGCGGUGUGGUGCCUUCAGUACACCAGGAGGGUCAUGGGUUCGAUACCAGGGGCCUCCCCUUUUUUUUGAUUGUUUCCUUUCUUUUCCCUUUACCCUUUUUCUAUUGCAGCAAGUGUGCCUAGUGGUGUUAGCUUUAGUGCAAUUAUUCCUUUGUGCCUAGAGUGAAAUAUACAUGUGGUUAUGUGUAUGUGAUGAGUGCAUGUGUAUGUGCUUUAGUGUAUAUGUGAAGGGAUGUGGAUAUACAUAUGUGUGUAUGUGCAUAUGGGUGCACCCAUGUACAUGUGCAUGAGGAUCUACCCCCUCAUGAGGCCAUUCUUGUGUGUGUGUGCAAGUGCUUGUGUAUGCACUAGUGUGUGUAGGUGGUGUGUAUAUAUGAGUCUGUGUAUGUGUGUAGCCUUGUGUGUGUGUGCACAUGGGAAGUGGUUCACAUAUGUGAAUGUGUGUGUGUGUGCAUGUGGCGGCACAUGCAUAUGUGCAAGAGGGCAGCCCCUCUUGAUGCACCUCUUGUAGUAGGUGUGUGUGUGAGUAUAUAUUGUGUGUAGGUGUUCAUGCAUGUGUGUGUGUGGGCAUGAGUGCACAUAUGCACUUGUGCAUCAGGGCUAACCCCUCAUGCUUGCCACUAUGGUGAUGUGGUGGUGUAUGAACCUUGUGUGUGUGCAUAUGUAGGAGUGGUGGAUGCUACAAGUGCUAAGACACAUGUGAUAAUGCUCCUAUAUGCUCAUAUUGAUUUCUAUGUUGAUUUUCGAGCUAGCUUUGUGCCUACAUGUUCCAUGCAAGUACCCAUGUAUUAUAUAUGAUUUUGGGGUAGAAUAAUCCUAGGAAUCCACUUGUGAAAUCAGAUUUCACAUUAGAGCAACUUCAUAAACUGUCAUUUUUUUGUCUUGAUGCCAUGUUUAGAGCUUAGUAUCAUGUGGUGUGUUGGCCCUAUGAGGAUGAAUUCUUGAUGUGGCAGUAGUGGGUGAACCCCUUUACACCAUGGGGUCUUUUUUUGGCCAUAGGAAUUUGUAUGUACUUGUUGUGCCUUGUCAAAGUUGACACUUGGCUGAAACUGACAGCUUUGUGAAAAUCUGUGAUUUUCACUAAAUCUGAGAAUCUGUUGUUAUUUUCUUCCCUUGUUGUUUUGAUUGCACAAGCUCAUGUGUUGGGAAUCAGCCCAUGCAACAAACUAAGGUUUCUGAGAUUUUGUGUUUGUCUAGCUCCCUGUUAAAUUUCAAGCUUAUUCACUUCCUAUAUAUAUCAUUUUGGAGGCUGCCAAAAUGCUUUAGAGUAUAAGCAGCUGGUGAAAAUCUGAGAUUUUCACUAAGUCCCAGAAUCUGUUUUUUUGUCCAAGUUUGUGACCAUAGAUCUUCUCAUGUGAGAUGCCUUUGAAGUAGCUUCUAGCUCGGGCUUGUAGAGCUUUUGAAUGGCAUUUGCCACAUAUCUUGUUUGGCUCAUUUGGGUGGUUGUAGGUACUUUGAAUGUUGUAGACAAACUGCUAUGAUGUUGUUAAAAACAGAUUGCAUGUUUUAGUUGUUUUGAAGCUUGUGUGGGCCUUGUUAAUGGUGUGGGGUGAUUCCAUGCACCACCCCACUUGUAUUUGAUUGCUUGAUCAUGUGGCAACCUGGUAACACCAGAGGAGUGCCAUUGGAGUGUGCUUGUGGUUGAUUUGAACCGUAGGACUCCAUAUCUUGUUUUUGUAGUUUCCGGUUGAUCCGUAGCUCCGUUCUCUAUGUUUUUGCUUCAUUUUCUCGUGAUGCACAUGUUCAUGCCAUCCUCAUGCAUGUCAAGAUAGCUUAGUAUGAAGUUGUGUCCAGAAGUUUAUCUUCUCAUCUCAUGCAUAUGAAAGUGACUAGAAUAGUGAUGCAUGCUUCCUUCUCAUCUCAUGCAUCAUAUUGUUGUUGCAUCAUGUUGUGUUGGUGUUCAUUGGCUGUUAUGUUUAUCUUGGGUAGCAUUGGGAUCGUAGAGCGAGUACAUGGAUUCUGGAGAGUACGUGCAGGAAGAUCACUAGCAGUUCCAAGCUGAAGACAUCUCAGGCAAGAUGACCGUGACCUUGAUACCGUAUCGAGCUUUGUUAUGCUUAGAAUAAUGUUUCGUUCGAUUAUGCUCACUGCCUACCACUUGAUAAAAAUGCCACAUGUCAUUGCCAUGAAACCCAAACACCUUCCCCUCCUAGUUAAUGUUGUUUGGCUAAGUAGGCUUGCUCAACUCUAAUGAUUAGCUUUGCUAGUUGCAGGUGAUAGUUGUCUCAUGUGAUAACAUGAGUAUUUUGAUAUCAUUAUGAUUAAACUGCUAUUUAAUUAAUGCACCUGUAUACUUGGUAAAUGACGGAAGGCCUAGCCUUUUUCCGGGUGAUUUGUUCCGUUGUUGCCGCCUUAGUUUCCGUUACCGGUGGUUGUUUCCAUAACUGAUCGCUCCUAACACGUUCGGGGUUGUUAUGGGAACCCUCUUGAUAAAUCGUGUAGUGUUAAGGCUCGUCUGGCAGGACCCAACAUUGGUUUUAAUUUGCUAAUUACCUAAUAAUAAUUUGCAUAGGGAAUAGCUACCCCGAGGAAUUAAUCAACAACCCGGGCCACUGCUCCUCAUGAGUGUUGGUCCAAACUAGAGUCGUGUGCGGAGCCAACCCGGGGCAACUCGAGAGAUUUCUAUCAGGCCACUGUACGCUGCGCUCAUCUGACCGUGUCCUGAGAACGAGAUACACGGCUCCUAUCCUGUUCGUUGACACGUCGUGAGGUAUUGCCAGAUCUGUCUUACCUUAGCGAUAUAUCUUGCGCAUAGGAAUCCCGGUGAAACUUUGGGCUCCAAAAAGUUGAGGUUUUCCUCUAAGGAAUCCGACGAGAUCACGAGAUUCGUGAUAGAGGAUUACUUUACGGCCCGUGGCAGUUUGUGAUGGACUAGUUGGAGCACCCCUGCAGGGUUUAAUCUUUCGGAAAGCCAUGCCCGCGGUUACGUGGAAAACUUGGAUAAUUUGUUAACAUCCGGUUCUAGAUAACUUGAAUUAACUCUAAUAAAAUUGCCAACUGCAUGCGUAACCGUGAUUGUCUCCUUCGAAGACCUCUCUUCGAUCGGAAACACGGCGGGGUUAUGUUUGACGUAAGUAGGUGUUCAGGAUCACUUAGUGAUCACCUAGUCUUCGAUCGCUCGCGUAGACCACCAUAUCAAAUACUAUGAUCGUCGUAAGUUAGCCAACAUAUAAGCUUAGGAUGCUGCAACCCAUACACUAAACCUUCCUCACCUAAUAACUUGACUAGAUUCGAUAUCAAGGUCAUCCGAUUGCUGAGUCCCUGUGGCUCACAAUUUACUCCAACAGCCCGAACAGGUACAGGUACGCCCGACGCAGGAGAUCUUGAUGACACCUAGCUGGCGUGUCAGUACGAUGAGGAGUCUGACCGACUAUACUUGAACUAUCUGGAGGACUGAGGCCGUGGACGUGAUCGUGGGCCAGCAUGCGGGAUGUCAUAGUCUUUUCCUUGUUUCAUGUUGUCUGUAGCGGGACUAACUUGUUCUGAAUAAUUGUGUGGUUGUAAACCUUAUGUUAUACUAUGUCAGAUGGCAAGUGUAUGACCUACUUGUCAUUCUUCGAAUAUGUAAUGUUAUGAUUAUCUCGCUUGCGAAAUGUUUAGAUGCGCCUCUUUCCCUUUUGGGGCAUCGCCCCCAAGAUAGGAAAGGGUCGCAUCUUAGUCGUUACAUGAUCAUCCCACCAAGAGAAGUUCCACCAAAGAUGCAUGUUAUUGUUAUCCUUCACUUUCAUUGUCAUGUCAUGGGCUGUUUGCGAGUACAUUCAAAGUACUCAUUGGCCUACCACUGGUUAUGUUAUUGACCAGACAUGGAAGGACCGGAGUUUGGAGAUGUGUAUGUCUUCGGAGACGCCCCUGUGAACUAGGACGCUUCCAAGUCAGAAUGCCUGUCGGUGUAGGCUUGAUGGCAUGGGCACCCGCUUAGCCCCUAUGAUUUCCGCUUCUAUUUGUAUUUGAGUGAUUUGGCUUUAGGCCCUGCCUUGUGAACCUGACCAUUCGGUCUUGUGUCGUAAUAAUUGGUAUUUGAAUGUAAGACUCUCUUAUUCGGUAUCUGUGUUUGGUGAGCAUUGAUCUCUAGGAUCCNNNNNNNNNNNNNNNNNNNNNNNNNNNNNNNNNNNNNNNNNNNNNNNNNNNNNNNNNNNNNNNNNNNNNNNNNNNNNNNNNNNNNNNNNNNNNNNNNNNNACUGAGCACGGCGAUCUCGACUCGUAACUCGGGGUCCCCACACCUUUCUUCAUGAGGAAUUCCUUCAAUGUAUCAUACCACGCCCAAGGGGCUGGCUUGAGGCCAUAAAGUGCCUUUUUGAGUCUGAAGACUUUGUCUGGAUUCUUCGGAUCCUCAAAACCUGGGGGUUGAGCAACAUAUACUUCUUCCUCAAGCUUACCAUAGAGGAAUGAACUUUUCACAUCCAUUUGAUAUAAAAAGUAAUGUUAUGAUGAUUAGCAUAAGCAAGUACAAUUUGAAUAGCUUCAAGUUUAGCAACAGGUGCAAGAGUUUCAUCGAAAUCAAUUCCUUAAACCGGUGUGUAGCCUUGGGCUACAAGUCGUGCCUUAUUCCUCAUUACUUGACCAUCCUCAUCUUGCUUGUUUCGGAAAAUCCACUUGGUGCCGAUGAUAUUGUGCUUGCGAUGAUCUGGUCGUUUGACGAGCUCCCACACGUCAUUUAGCUUGAAUUUAAGAAGUUCACCUUGCAUGGCUUGAAUCCACUCAGGUUCCAUGAAAGCCUCAACAACUUUUGAAGGUUUCAUGAUAGACACAAAAGAAGAAUGCCCACAAAAGUUAACUAAGUGUGAAGCUUUCGAGCGAGUGAGAGGACCUGGCGCAUUGAUGUCAUCGAGGAUUUUGUCAAGUUCUACUUCAUUUGCAAUCCUCGGAUGAGCUGGUUGAGGAUUUCAUCUGGGAUGAGGAAUUUGUUCUGGAGAAAUUUCCUCAGGAGCAUCUUCUUGAAUUUCAUCAAUGCUGGGGAUGAUUUCUUCAGCAAUUUCCUCAGUUGGAACAAUGUCUUCAGUAGCUUUGAACUUGAUUGAUUCCUCGGGAGAUAGUUUAUCUGGAUCAAGAGGCAAUUGCUCUCUUUGCGAGCCAUUAGUUUCAUCGAACUGCACAUCUACAGUUUCAACAACCUUGUUGUGAUAGGUGUUGAAGACUCUGUAGGUGUGCGAGUCCUUUCCGUAACCAGGCGUAAAACACUCAUGUGCUUUAGGUGCAAAUUUUGAGCUAUGGUGAGGAUCUCUAAUCCAACAUUUUGCAUCGAAGACUUUGAAGUAACUUACAUUGGGUUUCUUGUCAGUGAGGAGUUCAUAUGAGGUUUUCUUGAUGAAUUUGUGAAGAUAUACCAUGUUGAUGAUAUGGCAUGCAGUGUUGAUCGCUUCAGGCCAGAAACGACGAGGAGUCUGAUAUUCUUCAAGCAUGGCCCAUGCCAUUUCAACCAGAGUCCUGUCCUUUCUUUUGACGACGCCAUUCAUUAUCACUCCUUAUGUGUUUGAUCUUGACGCCGAAGUUCGUCGAGGCCCUUGAGGAAAAUCGUUUGAAUACUUCCUGCACUUCACUUUUAUACAGAAUGAUAUACACCCCAAGUAUAUCUAGAAUAAUCAUCAACUAUGACAAAGCCGUAUAAAGAUGUUCCAUUUGUUAGAGUGGCAUAAUGAGUAGGUCCAAAUAGAUCCAUGUGAAGCAAUUCAAAUGGAAGAGUAGUAGUCAUGAUGGUCUUCGAGGGGUGUUUGGAUCUGGUACUUUUUCCAGACUCACAAGCACCGCAGAGGUGGUCCUUGAGGAAUUUGACUGAUUCGAUGCCAAUGACAUGCUUCUUCUUCGCCAACGUGUGCAAGUUCCUCAUGCCUGCAUGACCAAGUCUUCGAUGCCAUAGCCAGCCAUAUGAGGUUUUUGCUAGUAAGCAUGUGGCUGGUUGAGGACCUGUAGAAAAAUCAACAAUGUACAAAUCUCCUCGUCUAACACCUUCGAAGACUUUGGAUCUGUUAGAUUCCAUGAUGAAUACACAUCGAUAUUUUCCAAAGAUAACAACCAUAUCAAGAUCACAAAGCAUUGAGACUGACAUGAGGUUAAACCCAACGGAUUUGACAAGCAUCACUUUGUCCAUGUGCUUGUCCUUGGAAAUAGCCACUUUGCCAAGUCCCAAUACUUUUCAUUUACCUUUGUGAGCAUAAGUGAUUUGCUUCACUGGUGAUGGAGUCAGUGGCAUAUUCACCAGCAAGCUUUUGUCACCAGUCAUGUGGUGUGUGCUGCCACUAUCAAGAACCCACUCAAUACUCUUGGGUUUGUCAUCGUGCAGACGAAUUAGUACAGCUUACCAUCUCAUAUGCUUCAGACAUGAAGAAUAUGAUAUCAAUUUCAUGAGAUAGGAAUUUAAUCAUAAACAGUAAAUUUUAGGACGUGUGAAAUGUUAUCAUUUCAGCAGUGUUUAGCUUGCAACAAUCAAGCAUUUUCCUCAGGUCUCCAGCAAAUUCUUCAGAUGAUGAUUUUCAUCUGGAGACCUGACCAGCAGAAGUGAUUAGUUCAAUUUCUUCACCACCCACAUCUGAAGGGGUGGCAAAGAGUUCAUCAUCCUGUGAGCACCAUAUGAGAAAGGGGGCAUUGAAGCUAAUGCACUUCUCUUCAUAGUAGGGGGGUUAGAGUACUCAAAUGAAUCAGAAAAGUUCUUUGAGGAUUUAUGAACAUAAUGAUUUGAGGAGUAAAGCUCAUAUUCAUAUCCCUUGUAAUUUCCCUGCAUAUCAGAAGCAUUAGCACGAGUACGAGCAUAAUUUUGACUAGUUGAGGAUUUUGAUCCUUUGAAGACUUUGGUACACCUGAGGAAUUUGAUCUGGGGUUCAGAUUCUUCACGGGUGGUGUCGUAAAGACAUUCACCUGAAGAUUUUCCAAAUAGCUUUUGGGGGCCCAUAUUUUCCUGAGGGGUGGUCCACUCCUGCAGUUAGUUCCAACAUAUCGAGCAAAUACUUCACCAGAUUGAUUUUUGAACAGUUUAUUGUUGGAGUCAAAUAACUCAUCCGAGGAAUAGGUUAAUUCACAUGCAUAGCCUGUUAGAUUGGAUGGAUCAACAUGAGGUCCUUUAGCAGCAACCCAUGAGGUUUUGGGAUAUUACUCAGGUUUCCAGUAUGAUCCAUCAACAUUCAAUUUCCUCUCAAAGGCAAUUCCUUCUUUCCUCGGGUUCCUGUUCAAUACCUGUUUUUGAGCACAUCGCAAAGGGUUUGAUGCCCUUUGAGACUUUUGUACAUGUCUGUCACAUACAAUUCCUUCAGCCCUGCAGUUUCGUCAGUAAUAUUUGUGGUUUCCUCAAGUGAGGAAUUUGAUACCACUUGAGCAGUUGAAAAAUUUGUAGCAAUAGAAGCAUUUUAUGAUUCUGGUGAAGAAUUGGUAGUUUCACAUUCGAUGCAUUUGAGACAUGGUGGAAUGAAUUCAACUUGAGCGGCACUGAUCUGUUGAGCAAGUAAUGAAUCGUUUUCCAUUCAAAGAAUCUCAUGAGAUAUCUUCAACUUUUCAAGAUCAAGUUUCCUUUGAAAAAAAUCAUAGGAAAGUUUCUCAUGAUCAGCCAAGAGUGUGCAAUGACGAUCUUGAAGAUUAUCAAAUCUGGACUGAAGACUUUUCAUACCUUUAGUGCGAAUUUUGGUAAGAUUCAUUUCAUCAUUCAACAGGUCAUCGCUUCUGUCUAGCAGUUUUUGAAGCUUUUCAAGGGCAGUUUGUUGUUUAGUUGCAAUGUUGGCAAGUUUACUGUAACUGGUUUUUUUAUAAUAAUCAGGUUCACAGUCACUCGAAUCAGAGGAGGAAGUGUCAUUCGGUACCUUUGAACCUUUUGCCAUGAAGCAAUAGGUUGGAGCGAAGUCAUCAGCAUAGUCAUCAAUGUAGAUGGCGUUGUCGUUUUCUUCAAGGUUGAAGAUUGACUUGCUGACAAAUGUGGUAGCCAGUGCAAGACUUGCGACACCAGACUCCGAGUCUUCUUCAGAACCUUUCUCUUCAUCACAUUCCUAGAUUCUUCCUCAGAAUCCAUUUCCUUGCCAAUGAGUGCCCGAGCCUUUCUGAAACUAGUCUUAUUGUGCGAUGAGGACUUUGAGGAUGAGGAUUUUGAAGAUUUCUUGUUUUUCUUCGAGUCAUCAGAACUUUCAUCCUUGUAUUUCUUCUUCUUUGAUUCCUUCACCCAUCGAGGACAAUCAGCAAUGUAGUGACCUGAUUUCUUGCAUUUGUGGCAGGUUCUUUUCUUGUAGUCCUCAGAUUUAGAUUCGAAUUUCCUCAUAUCUCUUCUUGAAGAUUUACCAAACUGGCCGCGUCUUGUAAACUUCUGGAAUUUCCUCACGAGCAUUGCAAGCUCCUGUCCAGGUUCUUCAGGAUCACCAAUGUUGCAAUCCGAGUCUUGUUCUUCAGCUGAGGAAAUUGCUUUGGCCUUCAGUGCACGAGGUCUAGAAUAGCUUGGUCCAUACAGAUCUCUCUUUUCUUCCUGUUGGAAUUCAUGAGUAUUGAGUCUUUCGAGUAUAUGAGCAGGAUCAAGCAUCUUAUAGUCUGAUCUUUCUUGGAUCAUCAGAACCAAAGUAUCAAAUGAUGAAUCCAAAGAUCUUAGUAGUUUCUUCACAACUUCAUGGUCAUCGAUGUCUCGAGCUCCUAUUGCUUGUAGUUCAUUUGAGAUGUCAGUGAGGAGAUCAAAGGUAUCUUGGCAGCUUUCAUUGUCAAGCCUCUUGAAGUGAUUGAAGAGAUUGCGAAGAACAUCAACACGAGAGUCACGCUGAGUUGAUAUUCCUUCAUUGACUUUGGACAACCUUUCCCAGAUUUCUUUUGCUAAGCCCAAAGCACUCACUCUGCCAUACUAACCUUUGCUCAAAUGGCCACAGAUGAUAUUCUUCGCUUGAGAAUCAAGUUGCUUGAAUUUCACCACAUUAGCGGCAGAGACAGUAGCAGCAAUGGAGGGAACACCAUGUUCCACAAUAUACCAGAGAUCAUUAUCAAUUGCUUGUAGAUGCAUCUCCAUCUUGGUCUUCCAGUAGGGGAAGGCCUUUCCUUCAAAAGUAGGACAUCCUGCAGUAACCUUGAUCAUGCAUGCAGUAGACAUAACUAAAACUCCAUGUGGUUAAACCAAAAUUACACAGAACAAGGGAGUACCUUGCUCUGAUCCUAAUUGAAAGUGUGUUAUAUCGACUAGAGGGGGUGAAUAGGAGAUUUUUAGAAUUUCAUCGCUGAGGAAAUUCCUUAAGAGGAAAUUGCUCACUAAUGACUAACCUACAGCGGAAAAAACAACGGAUCAGGAGUGCAAAGUAUUACUACAGCGGUUUUCUCGAUGAGGAUUAUGAAAACAGUUUGCACAGUACGCAGGCACAGAGUAAGCAGGUGAGGAUUAACUAGUGUGAAGAAUUUGAGGUUGAGGAAAUUCAGAGAAAGUCUUCAGCAAAUUCUUCAAAGAGAGACAAUGAAAAUCUUCAACAUACAAUAUUGAGGAAUUGAAAGAGUUGAAGAAAUAGAACCCGUACCACAGUGAAGACAGUUGUUGAUGACCCAGUUCCAACUGUUGUGACAGUCGUACAUCUGGUUUGGAGCGGCUUGGUAUUGAAACCAAAGGACACACAGUUCUGGGACACACAGUCCCUACCGUAUUCUACUUGAGCUAAGGACACACAGUCCUCGCCCAAAACUCGUGGUAAGUCUUCAUGGCAUACUUCCAAAACCUCACAAACUAGGUCACCCGGCGAUCCACAAUUGACUGCUGGAUUGCUCUAGACCAUGACGCCUAACCGUCUGGAGGAUGCACUAUCCUCAAAGGUAAAAGCCUUCAGUUCCACACAGGAACAAAUUCUUCAGUGAUGCUCAAUCACUUGGUUUUUGGUUUGUGGUUUGGUGUUUGGGGUAUUUCCUCACUAAUGAUUAACUCUCGAAGACUCUGAGUAAUUUGGGUUGCUCUAAAUGACAAGUGUCAGUUUCUCAUGGAGCAGCCAACCAGCUAAUGGUUGUGGGGGCGGCUAUUUAUAGCCUGGGAGCAUCCCGACAUGAUUUUGACAUAAAUGCCCUUAAAUAUUAUGACCGUUGGUGUGCAUAAGAUCGGUGAUGUGGCGCGAAUUGCGGCAACGGUCGGGACCCUCAACUAUGAGAGUCCUCAUGUCUCUCAUAUUCCUCACUUGAGGCUUUUGUAGGGUUAGGCUUGGGUUGAGCAUCAUGAGAAAAUUCAUUCCGUAGUGUUACCUCGACCCCCUUUAACAGUAUGGUGUUCCUAUGACUCAUGAGUGAAGAAAAUGAAACAGAAAGAAUAAAUAUUCACGCUUCAAAGUCUUCAGAUUGUUUUUCUUCAGGACACACCGAAUUCCUCAUCUUCAAUAUCUUCAUGAGGAAUAUCAAUUUCAUCGCAAUUUCUUCGUGAUCAAAGUCUUCAAGAGAAGACCAAUUUCUUCAGCCNNNNNNNNNNNNNNNNNNNNNNNNNNNNNNNNNNNNNNNNNNNNNNNNNNNNNNNNNNNNNNNNNNNNNNNNNNNNNNNNNNNNNNNNNNNNNNNNNNNNNNNNNNNNNNNNNNNNNNNNNNAACUCCUCAGCGACUUAUAGAUCCUGUGUACACUCAUGAACACAUUAGAUACUUAACCUAUAAGUCUUCAAACCACCAAAAUCACUAAGGGCACUAUAUGCACUUACAUGCCCCUCCUUGGGGAUCACCUGUUCUAUUUGUGUUGAAGAAGGACGGAACUAUCAGGCUCUCUGUUUACUACCGUUCCUUCAACGAAGUCAUGAUAAAGAACAAGUAUCUACUCCCCAAUAUUGAAGACCUGUUCGAUCAGUUGAAUGGUACCAACAUGUUCUCCAAGAUCGACCUCAGGUCUGGGUACUACCAACUAAAGAUCCGACCCGAAGUUAUUCCGAAGACGACAUUUGUAACCAGAUAUGGCCCAUACAAGUGCACGUUCAUGUCGUUUGGGUUAACCAAUGCCCCAACUUAAUUCAUGUACCUCAUGAACAAAGUCUCCAUGGAGUAUCUAGACAAGUUUCUCGUCGUCUUCAUUAACGACAUACUCAUCUUUAUGCAAAAUGUAAAGAAGAGCAUGAGCAGCACUUGAGGAUGGAGUUAGAAAAACUUCAAGAACACCAACUUUAUGCCAAGUUCAGCAAAUGCAAGUUUCGGCUACGUGAAGUUGGAUUCUUGGGUCAUGUAAUGACGGCAGAUGGGUUGGCAGUCAAUCCCACCAAGAUUAGAUCGGUGACGAAAUGGAGAUCACCAACCGAUGUGAAGGAAGUUAGAGGCUUCCUCGGACUCGCGGGCUAAUACCGCAAGUUCGUUGAAGGAUUCUCUAGCAUCGCCUGACCUAUGACUCACCUAUUGAAAAAAGGCAAAAAGUUCGAGUGGAUGCCGAAGUGCGAAGAAAGCUUCCAAGAGCUCAAGAUGAGAUUGACGACAACCCCAAUUCUGGCCACUCCUGAUAUUCAUAAGGAGUUUGUGAUAUACUACGAUGCAUCGAGGACGAGGCUUAGUGGUGUCCUGAUGCAGGAAGGCAGGGUCGUGACAUAUCUGUUCCGACACUUGUGUCCCCAUGAGGAGAACUACACCGCUCACGACCUUGCGUUGGCGGCAGUGGUUCAUGCCUGUAAAACAUGGAGGGAAUACCAUAUGGGGAAGCGAUGUGAGAUAUACACUGACCAUAAGAGUUUGAAGUAUAUUUUCACUCAAAAGGAAUUGAAUAUGAGGCAACAGAGAAGGUUGGAAUUGAUUAAGAAUUAUGACCUCAGUAUUCAACACCACCCCGGAAAGUCCAACGUAGUAGCGUAUUCCUUAAGUAGAAAGCCUUGCACCUUGAAUUCUAUGAUCAAGGAAAGGCUACCUGCCCUAUAUGAAGAACUUGAGAUCUUUGGGUUGGAGAUAAUUAUACCAGUAUUCUUGGCCAACCUCGAAGUGAAGCCUACACCAAUGGACGAUAUUAAGGAGGCCCACAAGGGCCAUGAGAGCAUGAAAGGUAUCUAGAAUAAAAUCAAGGAUGGCAAGGCCCCAGGAUCCUCCAUGGAUGAGCAGGGAGUCGUGUGGUUUCGGAACCGCAUUUUGGUCCAGAAAAAUCACAAAAAAGUUUGAGGUCAAUUGGACUUCGUUUGGUAUGGAAAACCUGAAAAGUGAAAAACAUGCAGAAAACAGCAACUGGCACUAGGCACUAGGUCAAUAGGUUAGUGCUCAAAAAUAAUAUAAAUUUGUAAAUAAAUACCCCAAAAGUAUUCUGGAAUGAUAAUAUAUCAAGAUGGAACAAUAAAAAGUUAUAGGUACGUUGGAGACGUAUCAAGCGCCCGCAAGCUUAAUUCCUGCUCGUCCUCAAGUAAGUAAAUUAUAAAAACAGAAUUUUUGAUGUCACAUCCUAUCCAUGGUGUAACCUUAUGCAUGUAUGCUCAUUGAGAAACAAUGAAUUAACAAAUAUUAACACAAAAAUACUUAUAGGUAUAAGCAGCAAAAUCAUUAACAUUUCAAAGUAUAGGAUCCUCAAAGAUUGAUUUACCCCAUUCAUGUAGCAAGGCAUGCCUCCAUCUUAACACAUUAAUACAAAUGUCAAGCACCAUAGUGUCCAAGUGAGGCAAUUGGAUCGUACUUUUUCAAUAUGCAUCAACUUUUUAUUCUUCAGCCAAUACAUGAGCGUGAACCAUUGGACAUAGCAUAAAUGUGGAAUAGAAUAUUGUGGUAGGUUUCAAAGGGGUAAAAAGUGGAGAAGAUAGUCUCACAUCAACUAGGCGUACCAACAGGCUAUGGAGAUGCCCCUCGAUAGAUAUCGACGCAAGGAAUAGGGAUUGCCAUGCAAAUUAUGCAGUAGAGCUAUACGUGCAUGAAAGCUCCACUGAAGCUAAGUGGGGUGUGCAUCCAACUUGCUUGCUUAGGAAGACCACAUGCAUUUGAGGAAGCCCGUCAGCGGAAUAUACAAGCCAAGUUAAUGAAAAAGUAAUUCCCACUAGCAUAGAAAUGAUAUAACAUGAGACUCUCUAUAUGAAGAACAAGGUGCCACUUUGAGGCACAAGAGUGGUAAAGGAUAGUAGCGAAGUCCCUUCUCUAUUUUUGUCUCACUCCUUUUUAUGGUGGGCUCAUUUGGCCUCCCCCGUUUUUCUUUCCUCACUGGAACAAUGCUCUAAUAAUGAUGAUCAUCACACUUUUAUUUACUUACAACUCAAUAUGAAAACUGAUAGGACGAUAUGACUGUGUAUGUGUACCAGUAUGUGCAAAGAUCUAGCAUGAAAUGUAUCAAAAAUAUGGUGAAUGGUGGCUUUUCCACAAAUACUAUGUUAGCACUAUAUGAUCAUGCAAAGCAUUAUGAUGAUGAAAGAACUAGUCAUGUGAAGCGACGAUAACAUUUUCCAUGGCAAUAUAUCUUGGAAUGGCUAUGGAAAUGCCAUGAUAGGUAGGUAUGGUGGCUGUUUUGAGGAGAAUAUAAGAAGGUGUAACAACCCAAGUGCAUUACAUUGCCACCUUUGUAAUAUAUUCCAUGUAUGAACUCGAUGUUUUCCCCCAUGCAUGUUGGGUUUAAUAAAAGUGCUUCAUGUUAUUUUACAUCGUGGCAUCAUAUCAUCAUCUCAAGUUACAUCAUGCUUUUUGUGUUAUGUUGAGUGUGAGUGUGUGAUGUGAAGUUUGUGUGCUUGCAAGUGUGUUUUUCGUGUGGAUCCUCUCCCAAACCCAUUUUUCAAAGCUAUGCCAAAAAACCUUUUAAUUCCAAUAAUAUGAGAUGUGGCGACUUUACUUGCACUAAUCAAUUUAAUAAAAUAUUGCACUUUCACCUAAUAAUCUCUUAGGUAAUUUAAAAUAGCUCUUAGCCAUGUGUGCUUAUUUAUCCUUUCGUGUAUUUUGCUAAAACAUAUUCCAAUAUAUUUUGAGUGACUUAUUUUAUUUGCUCUAAAAAUUCCCAAACUAAUUUUGUUAAAUGGAGCUUAUUUUUGUGAGUGCCAAACUAUUUUUCUCCUCCUCUAUAAUUCCUUUCAACUCCCUUGCAUUUUAAUUCUUGUUGUUGUUUUAAUUUAAAAGGGAACCUUGUUUGUUUUAUUCUGAGAGGAUGCCAGCCUCAGUCGAAUUUUUGUCCAAAAGGACCCCCUCUCAAACGUCAUUGUCAGAAAAGACCACCUGUGAACGGAAUUUGCCGAAAAGACCCCCUUCGUCCGUGGCGGCAGGCGCUCUAGGCGACACACGUCACCUGCCGCCACGAGCCCAGGCGGCUGGGGCCUGCCGCCACGAGCCCAGGCGGCCGAAGAAGUUUCCCGUUUUAGCAAUGCGGCAACGGAACGGUGACAAUGCGGUGGGUCCUUCCGCCUCGGUAGCAUGCGGCCAGGAGGGCCCUGCCGCCUCGGGAGGAGGCGGCCGACACUGUUUCGGCGCGCAGCCAUGUCGCACUGUUGCUGACUGCGCUGAUUUCCGUACGCGCUGAUUCCCAGGCUGAGACAGAUAUUUCCCGCUUCCACCGACAAAACAGUGGGAAAAUUUCCCCCUCCAAUCGACGAAACAGUGGAAAAUUUCCCCCCUCCCACCGACGAAAUAGUGUGAAACUUCUUCUUUAUAAGCGAACUGCGUCGCUGCCUCCUCUCUCACUCUCUUCUCCUACCGUUGCCUCCCGUGUCACUCUCUUCUCUUUCUUUCUCACUCUCUUCUCUUUCUCUCAAGAGCUACUCCGUAUGAAGGUUUAAGUGGCGAUUUAGGACGGUUUAAAGUUAGAUUUUGAAGACGUUGUAGUUGAAGAAAAGAUAGAUCAAUGUAAGAGCUUUCUAUUUCUAUUGGUUGUGUUUGCAUGCAUGAUGUUUUUAUUUUGGGUUAUUCUCACUGUCUUCUCUUUUCUCUGUAGCUGAAGAACACACUCCUUUCUUCACUUUGAUUCAAGAUUUCUGGUCUUUUGGGUUGGAUUUCGAAUAUGUUGCAGUUGAAAGAAAGAUAGAUCAAGGUAAAAUCAAUUCAUUUUCGUAGGUUAUGGCUGAAAUGCCCGAGCUUUUGAAUGCUUAUCACGACAACCACCACCGUUGCCAGCUUUUCUUAAAUCCGAAUCAUGAAAAUCCUCCUCAGACCUUCCGGCUUCGAACCUUAAAGACGCCCUGGUCAAUACAUAAUCGUUUCCUUGAACACCUUGAGGCUUAUGGACUCCUUCAUUUUGCAAACCUCGCAGCUCGUCGAGGUAGUUUUACUGCUGACCCAUCCCUUUUGACAUCCCUUGUUGAUAGAUGGAGACCGGAGACCCACACAUUUCACUUUCGAUGUGGAGAGCUUGCACCUACUCUAAAAGAUGUGUCAAUGAUCACAGCUUUACCAAUUAGAGGUGUGCCAGUGGUACAUCCACGAGUUUCUCCUAAUUGGCCAGCAGAUGUCUCUGGCCGUCUGAGGCUCGAAAUGCCCAUAUCAGAUCUUUCUGGUCCGCCUCGAGGUGUCCCACUCAGCUGGCUUCGUACUAACUUCGAAAUUUUAUCUACCUAUGCUGAUCCUGAGACAACGAAGAGAUACUUGUUUGCAUAUUUGUUGUGGCUCUUUGGUGUGAUGUUUCCUAAUUCUCACGGGGAGGUAGUUUUGCCUGGUCUCAUCUAUUUUGCCACAAAGAUAGUAGACGAACCUUUACCCCAAAAUCCACCAUAUAGCUUUGGUUCUGCUAUGCUUUCUCACACAUACCAAGGGUUGUGUGAUGCCACUCAAAAAACUUCAUUCACAUCUAAAGCUCCAUUACUUUGUGUCUCCUACGAGUUUCUACAGUUGUGGUCCUGGGAAUACUUACCUGUAGGACGACCGCAGAUAGUAGAACCCGCAACCCCAUACAACUAUGGUGAGGGUGUUGUAACUAUGUCCAGCCGGUGGAUGCUGGGUCGAAAAAAAUGGUCUACUAAAAUUGCAAAAAAUUGUUACCCCAUAUACCAUGAUCAGUUUGAACUUCUUAACGACUCACUAAUAACAUGGAACCCGUGGACUGAGGUGCACAUUGAUAUGGUAUUUGGUUCGCAACGCAUCCCAGUGGAAUGCGUGAGAGAUAGUGCCUUCUGGAUGACUCGCUGCAAUUUACUCUAUCUGUGGUUUGUGGGACCGUACAAUCCUGACCGUGUCAUGAGACAGUUCGGUCUAUAUCAAGAUAUUCCACCACCGGUUCCAAGAUGUAUCGACAAAGAAACUCAUAAGUAAGUAAGAUGUGACCUAGCUAAAUAGAUAUUCCAUCACCGGUUCUUGAAUUUUUGUUUUGUUAUCUAUAAUUUCAGGAUGAGCAAUAUGGGCAGAUCUGGUGUCGACUGGAAUGCAGAAAACAUUCAAUGGAUAAAUCAGUGGAAUAAUGAAGCUCUACAAAAUAUAGUGCCUCAGCAACGGUAAUUUUACUAAUGUUAAUUUAAUUAUGUACUUAUAAAAUACGGAAUGUGAUGUAACUAUUUAUUUAUGCAGAACGUACGAUGCAACUACGACAGAAGCGUACUAUAAUUGGUAUCGCAUGAGCACGCGUACUAGACUGACGAGUGAACCACCUACGAUGCCAACACAUCCAACGCAUAUGGAACAGUUGCAGAGAUGGAUAGACACAUCAUCAGCUUACUAUCGUGACUCCGCGGUAAUCAUCAACAUCUUGAUAUUCAGGCCCAUUAUUUCAUGAACAAUUCAACCAACCAACAAUGAUUUUUUUCAGAUAGAUAUUUGCACCCAAGUAGAAGCGAUGGCGAGGGAAGGAAUGCGAACAAGGCAAACUCAUACUGACUAUGGAGGUGCAGGUGCUUUGAAGUCUCGUUGAUGGUGAAGAGAGUUUCACUCCCUGCCUCCUUUUAUAGGUUGUGCCGGAUGUCUACGCGGGAAAAAACGGCGCGAAAACGAGAAACUUCAGCGGGAAACUUAGGCAGGAAACUUAGGCGGGAAAAUAACGCGGGAAACUUAGGCGGGAAAAAAUUGCACUGCUCGUCCGUCGUUAUCGCGUGCAUGUGGCGGGAACAAAUACAGGAGGCAGCCUCAGUUAGUGCAAUCACCCUUUAGGCCCUGCUUGAAAUGCCGUUCUAUUUUUACAAGUGCAAUAUUUUACAAAGGUGUCUCUUAUUUUUACAAGUGUACUCCCUCUGUUCCUAAAUAUAAGUCUUUUUAGAUAUUUUACUAGAUGACUACAUACAAAACGAAAUGACAGAAUCUACAUUCUAAAAUGAGACCAUAUACAUCCAUACGUAGUCUUCUAGUAGAAACUCUUAAAACAUUUAUAUUUAGGAACGGAGGGAGUAUUUCGUAAAAAAAUACUCAUUUUUCUCUAGUAGAAACUCUUAAAAGACUUAAAUACUCUUAAAAGACUUAUAUUUAGAGAUUGUACUAUAAACUACAUACAGAUGUACAUACACAUACUUUAGAAUAUAGAUUCACUCAUUUUGCUUCGUGAAAGGUCUUAUAUUUUGGAACGGAGGGACUACAUCCAAAGCAGGGCCUAAUACCGCAUGCUUGUGGCGGGAAUGCAUUGACUCCGAGGCCCAUUCACGCAGGACCCGGAAUUCCCUGCCGGCCGCCUGGGGCCGAGGCGGCAGGGCCCACCUCUCUGUCGCCGUAACGUUGCAGCGGAGCGGGAACGGGAUCUGGCGUCGGCCGCCUGGCCUCGUGGCGCCAGCCCUGCCGACCGCCUGCGCCCGUGGCGGCAGGCCCGAGCCGCCUCAGCCGAUGGCGGCAGGUGGCACGUGUCGCCUGACGCAUCUGCCGCCACGGAGGGGUGGGGUCUUUUUUGUCAAUUUCGGCCAUAGGUGAUCCUUUUGGACAAAUGCAGUCGGCAAGUGGUCCUUCUGGACAAAAAUUCGCCUCAGUAGGCCCAUUCCAGCGCAACAGCCUAGCCGAAGCGGUGCAUAGCAGUAGUAGCCUAGCGGUGGCCGCAUCCCAGCAAGCCGCAACAUGAUCGCACGUGCGCUUUCCAGCAUAGACGCCCGCGUUGGCCCACAUGCAGCGACUGCCUCCCCUAUUUUCUUCCUCCUGGAUUCGUUUCUCGCCUCUUUUUAAAGCAAGCUCGAGUGCUGCACAUGGCCUCCAUGGCCACGCACGUCGUCUCGACCUCCUAUAAAGGCAGGGCCGCGCCCUAGGGUUUCAUUCUUCCCCCUCUCCUCCUCGUGCGCCGCCGCCACGUAAGUAGCCACCAUACCCGCAGCUUCCAUGGCAAGAGAGGAAAAUAGCUCCUCUCCAGCGUGGUCGUCACCGCCACAGCCCCUCGCCGGCUAGUGCGAAGGCCUCGUCGUCCCCGACGUCCUCGCCCGCACGCUAGGACCGAUGGAGUCGCCGUCGAGCCCUUUUUCCCCAGCGUCGGACUCAAGCUCGCCGUAGAACCGCAGCCCCGUUUUCAGAAGCUGGGUGAGAAACCGCGACCCCGUCCCUCUCUCUGAGACAUCCCAGUGCGUUGGGCGCCCCCCAUAGUGUAGCUCCGUCGAUGGCCGUUGUGCCCGUGCGGUCCGCUAGCGCCGCCGCAUAUCAUCCCCCCUCCAUGCAUCGCAGAUCCUGGUGAGGUCCAAACUGGAUCCCCCGUCGUGUUUCGCUUCCCCGCAGCCGCUCGUUCUCCCCGUUGGUCAGUGGAGGCCUCACGGGCGCCGUCGCUUGCCUCUCUCCCGCAUGGCAGAGGAAAGGCAAAGCCUUUUGAGGAUCCAGUUGAGUGCUGUCCCCCGUUGUUGAUGAAAUCUCGCCUACCCCAGUGGUUGUGACCGUGCGCUCCUUCCUAGGAGACCUGGGUUAGAAUCCUGUGGGCGUUGUUUAAUCCCCAAUUUUUUCCCGGUUACUAGGGCACUAACAGUGUGCCCGGCCCCACUUGUCAUCCCAAGGGGGGGCCUCGUGUCUAUGCCAAUGGUUUCCCCGUGUGAAUUUAUUUUAUUUUUAGUUGUUUAUCCUAUGUUUGUGUGAAUUACAUUUUUCGUAAUGUCCAAAUAUGGACAUGCCUAGUUAUGGCAGCUGCCAUUUCUGGCAAGUUAUGACUUAUACUUGUAUGAUUGAUUUUGGGCUUUGUUUUGUGGGAGAUUUCUGUACAGUAACAUAGGAGUAUGACAUAUGAUUUUGGGGUAGAAAAAUACCAGCAAUCGAGUGGUGCCAUUAGUUUUAUGGUUGGAGCCACUCUGUGAAAAUGUAUUUUUGUGAUAAUGUGCCAUUUUGUCAUUUUCACAUGAUUUAAUCCUUGCACUAGUUGGUUAACUUGUCAACAUGAAUGUGGUAGAGUUUUGAGGGUACUAGGCCCCUGUAUUUUUCUUUGCCAUGAUAAGUUUGUGAAAUUGUGGGUUCCUGCCUUGUUCAUGCAUUCCCAAAUAAAUAAACUCGAGGUUCUGUCCAGAAUGCUAAACAACUUAAUAAAUGCAUGAGAAAGAUGACUAGUUAGCAUUGUCAUGCUGGUUUCAUACCCACACUCAUGCAUCAUGUUGUUUGAAGCAUUACACCUUGAUGUGUGUUCAUUGGAUGUGUAUUUUCUUUGGGUAGCAUUGGGAGAUAAGAACGAGAGCGAGGAUCCCAUUGAGUAUGUUCCUCAAGAAGAAGAGUUGUACCCGUGAGAGGAAGCAUCAGGAAAGAUGACCGUGAUCUUGAUAUCAUUUCUAAUUUUGUUGUGCUUAGAUAACUCGUUUCCUUCUCUAUUUACCACUACCUACCACCUGAAUAUCAAGCCUGCAAACAUUGCCAAGAAAAUCCUAUAACCCCUCCACAUCCUAGCAACCAUUGUUUGGCUAAGUUAGCGCUUGCUCAACCAUCUUGUAGCUUUGCUAGUUGCAGGUGCAGGCUAAUUCAUAUGGUAACACUGAUAUUUUGAUUAUCAUCUUAUUAAUGUUCUUUAAUUUAAUGCACCUAUAUACUUGUUAAAGGCGAAAGACUUGGCCUUUUGCUCGGUCUUUUGUUUCACUUUUGCCGCCCUAGUUUCGGUUACCGGUGUUAUGUUCCAUCUUGAGCGCUCCUAACACGCUUGGGGUUGUUUUGGGGACACCCUUGACAAUUUGUUUUGAGCUAAGAUUAUUCCGGCAAGGCCCAACAUUGGUACUACAUUUGCUAAACACUUCAUAAAAAUACAUAGGGAAUAGCUACCCCAUGGAUCAUAAUCAACAACAUGGGCCAGUGCUCUUCAUGAGUGUUGGUCCAAACAUGGCUGCCUGCGGGGCCGCCUCGAGGCAACUGAAGGAUUGAUUUUCCCUAUAGCUAGUCCCAUAUGAUAGUGCCCUGAGACAGAUAUACGCGCUGCUCCUUUUGGGAUCUAGCCUGUUGGGCGGUCUUGCUGGAUUUGUCUUACUUUUAGCGAGUGUCUUCUGCACUGGAAUAUCUGUGAUACUUUGGGCUUUCUCGAGGUUGAGAGUUUCCCUCGAGAGCAGCUUCUGCUAGUUUGUGAUGGACUAGUUGGAGCACCCCUGCAGGGUUAAUGUCUUUCAGAAAGCCGAGCUUGCGGUUAUGUGGCAACUUGGAAACUUUGUUUAACAUCCGAUUCUAUAAAACUUGAAGUAAACUUCACCAAAAUAUGCCAACUUUGUGCGUAACGGUGACUGUCUCUUUCGCGAGCUCCUUCGCCGACUGACAACGCGGUGGGGUUAUGACUAACAUAGGUAGGUGUUCAGGAUCACUUAGUGAUCAUUAUAUAGCUCACAACCAUCAUGGAUAUUCCACUCACUUUACAUUAUGUUCUUGUAACUUAGCUACCAUAUAUGCUUAGUGCUGCUACAACCUCAACACUUAACCUUCCAAAUCCAAUAACUUGAUCAGUUCCGGUAUCAUGGUCACAAGAUUGCUGAGUCCGUGUGGCUCAUAGAUUACUGCAACACCACAGACCCAGGUACCGUAGACCUAGAGGCGUUUGACGCUACGUAGCUUCAGUGGGAGUACGAUGAAGGCAGUGGCCGCAUGCAUGUUACGUAUCCCACCAAUUGGAGGACCUUGGUCGUCUCCUUGGGCAGCGAGACAUAGUCGUUGCAUUUAGUCGUUUAUCUUGUCCAUAGUCGGAACCUGUCUUACGGAUGAUUGAAAUAAUGUUGUGUGGCUUGAAAAAUAAGUUGUGAUGAGUAAGCCAUCCAUAUAAUCAUCUCUUCAUAAAUGUAUUGUGAUUAUUUUUCUACUUGCAAAACGCUAAGAUGCGCCUCUAUCCAUAUUAAGUCCUCAUCGCCAAAUAUGGAUAGUACCACAUUUUGGUCGUUACAAGUUGGUAAUCAGAGUCAUACGACCACAUGCGCCUUUGAUUGAUCGAACUUGGCUGAGUCGAGUCUAGUGAAAAACUAUUUUGAGUCCUAGUUAUAUUGGAAAGUAGGAUUGUUUUUACUCCUCUUUCCUGCUCUGGUGAGGAUUACGACUUAAGAAUUUUAAUUCUACACCUCUUCUCGCUCAAUUUUUUUAGGAUCAUGCGGAUAUUCUGAAAUCUAUAUGAUACCGAUGUGAAGGAGUUCUGACUUGGUGCCUCCUGUCUAACUUGAUUUCUUCCGGGGAGUUGAGCUCCAAGGGUAUUUUGAGGACAUCGUUAUCAUUCAUAUUUCUUAGUAUCUCACAAUGGAGGAUGUUUGAAAUUUCUUCAAUACUAGUAGUGGCGAGAGGAGUCCGGCCUCCCGAGUAGUGGUGGAGAGAGUCUAGAUGUAGUGCCAUACUUGGCAUCAUUGUGAUUACGAGGGUUCGAGAUAGAUAAUGUUCUGAGACUCUCGUUAUGUUUUGACGGGUGUGUUACAUUGGAGCGAGUAUGAUGUUAGGAGUUGUGUGAAGUUUUGCUCCUUGUAUUAGAGGACCCGAUUGCAUAACCAGAAGUUUCAAGAAUUCUUAGGUGGGAAUUCAUGUAGUCAUCUAGGAAUUUCUUUCUUCAAAUGUAUUAUGGGAUAUAUAUUUGUUCCAAGCAAUUCUAGCUCAAACUUGACAAUUGCAAGUGGCUUUCGAAUCUUAUGAUGUUGUCCCUAAUUUUUUGGAAGCAUUCUUACUAAUUCUAGUCCAAAUGCAAAUUGCUAAGACUUUAUGUUCCAAUAUUUCAAGCCUUUGAUUCAGCUUAUCAGCUUCAUCCUUUAUCUGUGGUCUAAUGUUGUUCUCCAUCUCCAGGAUGGCUCGAGCAACUAACCAUAAUCCGAACCAUGAUGGAGAGUAGGCUGACCCUCCGCCACCCCCUCCUCCUCCUCAAGAGGAGUGGAAAGCUUUGAUGGCUGCUACCAAUGCAAACACUAAGAUGCUUCUUAAAAUUAUGCAAGAUAGGAACAAGGGUUGCCAAGGGAAUUUAAACAACCAGCAGCAGUUUGCUUCUCUCAAUCAAUUCCGGGCAAAUCAACCCAAGUCCUUCAAUUGUUGUGAACAUCCAUUUGAUGUAGAUGAUUGGCUACGUGACAUGAGUAAGAAUUUUGAGUGCAGCAAUGUCUGUUCUGAGGACUUUGUCAGAUUUUCUACUUUCUAGAUGAAGGGUUACGCAGCCGAGUGGUGGCAGCAUCUCAAGGAUUCCAUAGGUGACCUCUGAUUAGUUGGGAUGACUUCUAGCAUGAUUUCACAGCCCAUCAUAUUCCGGCAAGCUUUGUUGAGGGCACGCGUGGGAAGUUCAGGAGUCUGAAGCAAGGAAGCUCAUCUAUAUAUAAUUACAGUAUUGACUUCUAGAACCUAACCCGCUAUGCCAAGCACGAUGUUCCGUACGAGAAGAGACAGAUCUAUCAGUUUCGAGGUGGUCUCAAAGAAGAUUUGUAGGUUUCUCUUGUCGUGCACGACCAUCCCGAGUUCAACCAGUUCUAUAACUUAGCUCUCAGGGCUGAGUUAGCC